rnacentral:lncRNA from 1 species
AAAUAGUGUAAUAAGAAGCACCGAUGGGAAGAGGUACUGAAGAUCAAAAAGUUACUACAGUAUAUUUCUCUCUCCUAAAAGCUCUCCAAACAAGGCGACAACAAAGACGAAGCUCCGUUAGCUCCGGCGGUUGGCUUCCUUGCCGUCGCCGGAAGCUCCUCCUCCCCUCCUCUUGGUUGUUUUUUUGCUCCCGUCUUUCACCUCUUAGUUGGCGCUGAUAUGCUAGGCGUUCUGGUGGAUGUCUCGUGGCGGAACCCUAACUCUGCUCCGGGAAGAGCUAUUUCCGGCGGUCUGAGGCCUCUCCCUGGAAUCUCUGCGAGGCGUCAACGGUUGUGGAGCACGGCGAGUCGGCGUUUUAGGUUUCGACCUCGGUAGAUCUCGAUUUUACCUUUGUAGAUCUAGCCGGCGUUGAUGGUGAUGGCGGCGCGUGAGUGUAAGAUUCUGGCUCUCUCCUCUGUUCUCAUUCAGGUUUUACUGGCGGUUAUCGUUGUGGAGAGGUCCGGUGACUUCCCCUGAACUGGCGCUUGGUGUCUUGCUUCGGCGAAGGGGUUUUGUUCACUGCUCGAUGGAGGCGACAGCGUGUUGCUGUUGGUGCGUGCCCAGACCUCCGGUGGUCGUGUGGUCACGGAGCGUUUGGGGUUUUUUCGUUUGUGGCUUAAGUGUUGCGGGAAGCUCCGUCGUCUAUGGCGGUUUCUUUCUCUUCUACGGCGGCCUCCUUCCAUUUGCCAGACUCUUCUCAUUUCUGUGAUUGUGUUUUGGGUCCUCUGGUCCCGAUUUCUCCUCUCCGCUUCAUCAGCUUCUCUUCGACUCUCCAUCGGUUUGAAGCCUUGAAGCGCAACAAAGGCCGGCUAAGGUUCUCUUACUCGGGCCAGGGCGCCAUUUGUAACAGCGACUUGGUCUGUCGGGUUCAGGUGGCGAGGAGACCUGGUGGGAGAUUGACCAUCCCAGUGUUCCAGUGACCUCUUGGUUACGAGAGCAGGUUUAUCACCUUCUUUUUUGCAGGUUACGGAGUGCACCUUUGCAGUCAGCUUUCAUCACAGCCUGUCUUUGUCCGGAUGGUUUGGGUUGGUGGUCUCCGGAUCAUCGUUCAAGUUCAUCCAGCGUCUUGGGAUUUUCGAGGCCUUGGUAUAUAUCUUUGCUUCUUUUCCUAUCGGUUUUAGAGCUUAAAGUCAGUGGAGAGAGCAAGCUUGUAGAAACCGUCGAGAACUAGCUACACCCAUGAUGGCACGAGUGUUCCGGCAACCGAGGAAACGAGGUGAACGCCACCCUCUUGUGGUUCCUAUCAUCGGCAGAGAACAGUGAUUGACAGUCUAAGAUUUGCGGAGUCAACUAGCGGAAUACGCCGGUGUGGUGGUUGAGCGAAGCUAGUUAGAUGACGUUUCUGAAUUAGAUCAUUUUGGUUGAAACAUGCUUGUAAUCGAAACUUGAAUCCCCGAUCUUCGGGUUAUGAAUAAUAUAUUAUAUUAAAAAAAAAAAAAAAAAAAAAAAGCACCGAUGGUCUAGUGGCAGUAAAUACGGACCGCCACCAAUGUAAGCAUUCCCGGAAUAGUCCUUUCCGGACUUGGAAGGUAAACAAAGAGCGACUUUGUAAGGGAUCUUGUAAGAAGAGACGAGGUCACUAACGAAAGACGUGGAGCUAUUAGCGAGUCCGAGAACGCCGUUAGCACCAUCAGGAAGCUCUGUCAAGGCAUCAAAGAAAGAUAUGCAAACGAGACGAGUGAGACAUCAGCAGAUGUACACGUCUCGUUUCUGCAUGUAGGUCUGAAGGGGCCGUAGCAAGUGUUAUGGAAGCAUUCGUCUUUAGGUGUUGGGCAGCAACGGGACCCACAGAGGAUAGGGUCAUAGGAGGUUGACUUAUAGCCGGGUUUGCCGCAUUGGAAGAAUAAGGCUGAGCCACUAACGUCUAGGACUAGGUUAACGGAAAGUGGUGGCUGCCCGACGGUCAUGUUGGUGUAGUAGAGACCGGUUUUGGUGUCUUUGAAGAUUGGAAUCGCAAAAGUAGGAGGCCUUUGCUUUGGUAUUGGAUUUGGCUUUUGCUUUGAUAUUGGAUCUGGCUUUGCGUAGUGUUCAGUCAAACCUGUGGUGUUUGCGAUUAAUAUGAAUAUGAUGUUUAGAAAAAUGAAAAGACGAGACAUUUUUGCUGGUGGGAAUAGUAGAGAUGUUUAUAAUUAAGGUGUGUGUUAUGUGCACCUUUGGUACUCAUUAGGCAUUCAUAUAGACUUACAAAGUUGAAUGGGAUGUAUAUUAUUUAUCUGAUUAAGAGAUAAAUAAAUGAAACUAUAAACGUGACAGAACGUAAAAUAUGCAAAGCAUGUGAGGAAGACUUAAUUGAGGUAUGCAUCCAGGUACAGAAUUAUUAGAUCGCAUAUGCAGAUAACUAACGUGUAGCAUCCACCAUAUAUAAAAUGCAUAAAAUAUAUGGAUAUCUCUCGAUUUGGACAGUGUGUUUGAAUAAAUAAUUGAUUAUAUAUGGCAUUGUAAGAGAUUAAUAAAUGAAAUUAUAAGAUUUUCUUAACGUUUUUAUACAUAUUAUGUUUUUAAUAAUUUCUUUAGAAUUUUAUUUUAAAUUUUGAUUGCCAGGAAAAAACUUCAACAUCUGCCCUAAAAUGAGUAUAUAUAUAUAAAAUUAUAUACCAUAUGUUUCAUAUUAUAAGUGUUAUUUUGACUUUGUGCACACAGAUUAAGAAAACAAUUAAUUUUGUAUAUUUCAUAUAUAAAAACACGAUUACCUAUACACCUAAUCAUAUUUUAACCAAUAAAAAAAUAAAUAACUGAAUAAAAUUAAUAAAUUUUGCAUUGAAAAUCGAAAACCACAUUUAUUUUGUAACGAAAAAAUUUAUACAACGACACUUAAUAUAAAACGGAAGGAGUAUAAAAUUUCAAACUUAUUUUUACAUUAUCAUAUGCCCUGAUAAUUUUCUGAGACCGUUAAUCCCUAAAGUGUUAUAUUUUCAAUACUCUCAGUUGACUUUAAAAUUGAAAAAUUGGCUUCAGUCGAGAAUCUGCGGAGAAUUUCGACGAAAGUCAAUUCUUCUAUCAGAAAUCCGUCGAAAUAAGUCAUUUUUUAGUUUCCGUCGGGAAUUUUGGAAGCCAAACUUUUUUUUUCCGAUGGAAUUCUAUGAAAAAAUAAUUAUCUACGAAUUUGUUUUCCGUCUGCCGUAGCGAAUCAACUUGUUUGUUUUCUUGUAGUGAAUAUUUGAAAUUUUCUUUUGUUGUCAGUGCACUCCAUAACAUAGGUAAUAAAAACAAAACUUUUUUGUCUCCUAACUACUCCUUGUGAUUCAGAAUGAUAAACUCAAAAGCCUUAGAAUCUUCUUCCAGGGCGGCCAAACACAUUGCCUGGUGCCAAAGCUUGUGGCUCCACUUGAGAAAACCCGGGGAUAUCAGACAUUCCAAAAGAAGCAAGCAUCUAUGGAGUCUCUUUGUCGACAUUAACCUCAGUAGGUUCUAAUGGCUGAUUCGUCGCGUCGGGACAAAGUCCAUUCGCCGUUCACGCUCUUUCUCUUGUAGCUAUACGGAGAUUCCACGCACUGGACUUUUUUGGAUAUGUUUGUUCAAGUGGGUGGAGAAUCAGCAAUCUUGUUGCGUCGUGAAGAUUUCUUCACAGUUUUGGUACGAACAAAACAUCUUUCACCACUUUUUUACUUAACUACCCAAUAUUAAGAUAACAACACGAACAGCAAUAAAAGGGUCAACUAUCUACAAGUUCCUUAGCAAUGACGUACAUUACAACUUAAGCAGAACGUACCUGCACGGCCUGGGCGGAAACUUUAUGUAUUAAAUAUACGAAUCUUAUUAGGGUUUCUUGCAAGGUUAUUAACACGUCAAAACGCAUUUAGCAAACCCAUUUAACCAACAAGAUUUAAUAAAUAGGCCUUAAUGUUAGGCCCAUUAUUUCUGCUUUAGUUCUAUAAGACAAUUGUAUAUUUGGAGUUUUAUCCUUAACUAAGCCCACAAUAGUUAGACAUUGUACGUAUAUAGGUUUUCAUGUGAUGUGACUAACAAGUUGAUUACAUUGGGGCCAUGGGGAGUAAUUCUCUAAUGCAAGUUGAUGACUCUUGGAAGAGGCCAAGUUCUACUUCGAGAGGUAUACAUAACAAAACUAACAACACUGAAUUUACAGUAUUUGUAAUGAUGUUUCUUUCUUUUAAGUCCCAAUUGAGUUAUUAAAAGCCUGUAUUAAGAGGCUUUUCGUGGAUGUUAAAACACAUUAUACCAUAUGAUAUAUAUAGUUUUUUUUUUUUUUUGCUAAGAAUGUUAAUAUCAUUAACUAGUAAUGAAAGAGAUUACAAGUUGUGAAACCUGAACCAAAGAGCUUCGAGAAGCUAGUUUAGUUGUACAAGCCGCAAAAAAAGUUAAAAAAGCUUGUAGAACAUGAUAGGACUAAUCUAGUAAACUAGAUUAAUGCUAAAACUAAAGAUGUGUUGUUUGCACUUAUACAUUUGAAGAGUUGUAGUGGCUGAACCACCUUAAGCUGGAACCUGCAAAAGGAAUCAUUAGGUCUCAAAGAAGACUGAUAACCAGAGGACCCCUUGGGCGGGAGGCUGCAAUCGUAUUAGCCGGAAGAGGUGACCAAGCUCUGCAUCAGCCCAUACAACGCUACCGACUCAGGGAAUACCAACAACAGCAAGCCUUGAGAGACUCUUGAGCUUCACGGUGUGGAAGCAGGCGGUAGGGAAACGGCAUAAACCGGCCACAGACCAAGUCGGAAGACUCGACGAGACUCAAAGAAAGGCAGCUAACAUCUUUGGGCAGCCAUAAAACAAUUAAAUGAUUUUAGGACAGUGAGAGGCAGAGCUCUCAAAUCAGGCGAGAGCUACGGCGAAGGUGAGAAACUCCAGACGCCACGGCGGCUUAACUACGGAACAGCCCAAGAUCCCUUGCCGAUCUGCGAAGAGGAGGAGCUCACCGGAACCAAAAGCACCAUACGCACUGCUGUGCAAAGAGACAGAUCUAGUAACAGAGUAAACCUCCACGAUGGCCUCUACACCGUGUACCUGCGGGAAACAGAGAAGAGGAACUCACACAGACCAGAGGAUAGCAAAACGACGACAGAGGGUCUGGAGGACGGUAAGGAAGGCUCCUGGCGAGGCAGCGACGCUCUCCGUUUCCGACAAACCGUGAACCCCUAGAUCUGACCCAAAUCUAAGAAAAGACCCUAUGUCGCGAGAGAUCUCCUACUGGCUCCACUAAUCGCUUCAGCUUGCUAAACCUCGCUUCUCCUCCAGCGGAUUGACAGACGCCCGCCUUGCCGUUGUUAAGUCUCCGGCGAGCCGAAGAAGUCCAGAGGAGAAAAGCAUAUCGGAGUAGAUGGAGAGGAGAAGGAUUGGAGAGAGAGGCAAAAGAGAGGAAGAAGAAGAAGCUGGGGUGGCGAAGAAGACCAGUACAGCAAGCUUGCCGUCGAUCUCCUCCACCGGAUUUGAACCCAGAUGCUGACGGCGCUAGGGUUUCAAGAGAUUUGGGGGGAGAGACUCUAGAGAGAAAACCAAACUUUCUCUCUCUCUCUCUUGUCUAUCGCACACUUCGUGGUUGUAUUUAAGAUGUUGUAAUACACUUUUAUGAUAUAUAUAGUUGCACGACUUGACUUAUAACUAGGACAGCUGCUUUUCGACGUAACGAAUGGAAUAACUUUCUUUUACUUUUAUUGGUGGAGUAUAAUUUCAUAUCAGAUCUUGCAAGUGCCAACACUUGUUGCUAUUUUAAGCAUUUAAUCAAAGAAUCCUGAAUUCUUAAAAAUAUUGUGGAGGAAAACAAAAUUCAUUUUUGUACAAAUUCUAUUGCGAUCUUUUCUGCAAUUUUACAUAGAAGAAAAACUUACGCAUGUACAUAAAAAUAUAGGAGUAUUGAUUGAGAUUUUUUUUUAUUAUUAUACUUGGGAUUGUUAUACUAGUCCCUUUCGAAUAAUUUUUGUUUUAGUAGGAAACAGAAUAUUCUACUUCUGUAAAGCGAAUGUCAAAAAUACAAUCUCUGAGAAAGUAAAAAAGGAGGUCAAUGGAAAUCAAGAGACACACACUGUCAAAGUGUCGACAUCUUGAAAGUCAUGACAAGUGGAGGCAAGCCUGUGAGUCUGUGACUAUGACUCUGACAAUUGACAUUCACUAGUUUCUUUUUGCACAGCUUGCCUUGAUUGCUACAAAAGUCGUUGAUCUUUAUUUUUGUCAGCGGCUUUGACUUCAAUUUAUAUUUUACAUAGUAUUAUUUUUUCUUUUUCUUUUCUUUGGCUAAAAGCCUAAAACACAUACUUCAUGGGGAUACAGUUGUGAGAUUAUCACUGAUCACAUAUUUUCUUGCGUUCUCUUGAGAUAACAUCAGAUUCACCUACAUACGAGUUACUGUACAUAUUUAAAUUUAACAUGAUGUCAAGUAACAGCAAUAUAUAUACUUCAAAUUAACUUCCCAAUGUAAAAUGUCUUAUAUCUUAUGUACCAAUACGCCCUCGCGUCUUUCCUCUACUUGCCAACAAAAUAACAUAUUGGCUGUUUUAUUCAUAAAAAUAAACUUGUUGAACAACCCUAGAAGUUUUUUAGACCAUAAGCUUUCACCAAGUUUUGUCUACUAAAGCAUUUUUCAACUCAAAAUUCUGUUAAUUCCUUCAAAACUUUCCACGUCUUUGAAAUCAAGAGACCCAUCUCCUUCAGCAUCAUAGCUCGCAUGAACACUAUAAAACACAUACACGAGCACUGCCAACCCCGAGAAGAACCCGAAUCUUAUAUACGAAGGAGCAUCCAGCGAUCCGAGCAAAAAUAUGUUCAAAAAUAUCGAAACGCAAGGAGUCCACGGCAUCAACGGUACUCCCCAAAACUCAGGAGUUCUAGCUUGAGGCACAACACAAUGGAAUAUCUGCACGAUGGCUAUAGCCGCCACACCACUGGCUCCAAGCAUAAACCAUUUUGGUGAACCGGACGGUGCGAGUUUCCAGACUAAGGUGAAGACAAUUGAGGUUAUAGAGAAUAGACAAAGGAAAGAGAGUGUAGGCCAGGGUCUGGUGUAUCCAACCGCUACGUAACGCCGGAAUAUAACAGCGUUUGCAACCAUGUAAAAGACGAAGAGGGUUCCGAUUGAAACGAGGUUUAAGAGAACGUUCAGGUCUGUAAAGAGUGCGAGCGCCGCCGUGAAGAUUCCUGAAGAAACAAUACAAAAUUAGUACUUGUGAAGAAGGAUAUGCUAAUUAAAUCCAUAUUCUUUAGUUAGCUCAAUCAUUCAUAUUAGUAUUUUGAUAUAACGCAGAUAUAUUCUAAGAUGUAUAGAGCUGAUUAUGUAACAAAAACAAUUUGAAGAUACUGGAGGAAUUUGUUCCAUUAGCUUGGUGGAUAAGAGUAUUUUCUUUUUCUUUUUGUAAAGAUUAGAGUUCAAGAUCUAUCCUUAUGUGUUAUGUCCUAAAAGACUAGAUCAACGUCUCAAGAUUUAUAAAAUUUAAAACAAAACACUUUCUCUUAAAAGACGGCUUAUAGUCUUUUAGAAAGUCUAAAACAUAAGUAUAUUUGGUUUCUUAAUAAUUUUCGGUUUAUAUAAUAUAGUAUCCAAACUCGUUAGAUCAGUAAACAAUGCUUUUUUUUUUUUUUUUUUUUUUUUUUUUUUUUUUUUGAAACACGAUCAGUAAACAAUGCUUACACGAACGAAUAUGCAAACAAAAGUAACUUGUGGGUCUAAAUUCGCUACCACGACACGACUUGACCAUUUCGGGAAACUUAUAAUUUAAAUAAUGAUUCAUCAAAGAUCUUACACAACAAUAAUUAGCCAAUUUUUAUAUUAGUGGCCAGACCAAUGACCUGACCUAAAGAUGUCAUGCACAUAAGUUUGUGUAAAGUUACGAAACAGAGAGCUUCAAAAGGUAACGUUAAAGGACAAAAAGAGACCAAAGAGACCCAACAAUAUGUCACGAUCAAAACCGUUGAAAAGACUGAACUUUUUGAACCCAGUUGAUGAUAACACGAGCACGACAUUUUGUCGGAUUCUAUGUUCUAAAUCAAGAACCAACACCAAAACAAUCACAUAAGAACAUAAGACAUGGCCUACAUUAAUAUAGUCACACAGUCAGAGCUAGAUGACUACAGCCACAAUCACAAUCAAAAAUUAGUUGGGAAAUAUUUUUUUAAAAAUUUGAUUUUUUGGUUUUGUUUUCUUCUUGUGUACACGUAUAUGUAUGUAAUCACGUGGAAAGUGUUGAUCUACACAUUACACUCAAAUCCAAAAAAAAGAUCAUAGAAACAAAAAAAACAAUUGUUUUAAAUUGGGUCCCCACUCAUUGUCUGUUUAUCACUUGAUGAAAAUAAAACAGAGAGGAAACAUAAACCCGAUCUUGACGAAAGGAAAAAUCCAACGUAACGUUAUAUUAAAUUUCACGGGAUUUACGUUGUUUUUUAACCUUUUCUUAAGAUUUUAUUAGAUUUGUUAAAUAUUUAAAUUAAUUAAAUAAAAGGUUGAAAGAGUUUUAAGACAAAACCUGUUUAACUUACCAAGAAAAGCGGAAGCGUUGACUGGUGUUGAUGUCUUGGGAUGGACCUUAGCGAACCAAGUGGGGACCACUCUUGACCGUCCGAUGACGCACAUGUACCGAGCCUGACCCAACAUCGCCACCAACAACGACGUCAGUAUCCCAAAACUUGCUCCAAUCCCAACCACUUUCGUCAACCAUUCCCAACCUUCCGAUUUGCUAAACGCAGCCGCGUACGGUGCUUCAGGAUCUAUCUGCUUACACACACACACUUGAUCAUUACCGUCAAAUCAAUUUUACAAAAUGAAAUUAUUUAUUUUUCAACGGACCAGAUCGUAAGGGAGGAGCAUGGACAUGGAGAUAGCCAUUAAGCAGUAAAGUACAAUAACGAUAGCGACCGAGCCGGAUAUUCCCAUGGGGAUGUCUUUGACCGGGUCUCUCACUUCUUCAGCCAUCGUCGAAACGGCGUCGUAUCCUAUAUAACUCAAGUAAACCAUCGCCGCUCCGUUAAACACACCCGAAGCUCCGAAAGGGAAGAACCCGGACGGAUUCUCCGGGUUAGCGGGUCGGGUUAAAUUCUUCUUGUCUCCUUUCCAAAACCCCAUCACGAUCACGAACACGAUGAAUGCAAUGUGUAACGCCGUUAACACCAUAUUCACCUUCGAACUCUCCCUCGUGCUGUAGCAGAUGAUGAACGUGACGGCGAGGACGACGAGAACGGCGACGGGAUCAAUUUCGUUGAAUCCGUUAGGGAGACCGGAGACGACGAAUCUCCACUCGGACGUGGAUAGUCCGAAUGCGGAUCCGAGAUAAGCCGUGAAUCCUCUCGAAACGGCGGCGUUUGACAUGACGUAGUCCAUUAUAAGAUUCGCUCCGGUUAUAAACGCCGGGAACUCGCCUGUAACGGAAAAAAACGGUUACGGAUUUUGAAUUUUAACGGUGACGGAGGUUUUUGAGAGUGUACACUGACCGAAUGUGAUACGGAUGUAGCUGAAGGCGCCGCCGGCGACGGGGAGGUGAACGGCGAACUCGGUGUAACAGAAGGCGGAGAGGAGAGCGCAGAGGCCGGCGAUGGCGUAAGAGACGACGAUCGAGGGACCGGCGAGGAGUCGGCUAGCGCGGCCGGUGGUGACGAAGACGCCGGCGCCGAUCAUGCCUCCGAUUCCGAGUCCGACGAGGUCGUACCAGCGGAGAGUGCGGCGCAUCUGCUCGCCGGAGACGGCGCGGACGCGGCUCAUCUCGUCGUACGAGGUGGAGACGGAGAUAGCGCGGCGGGAAAAGCGGGAGGGAGUGUGGGAGAGAGAGUUGAGGUAGACGCGGAGGCUGGAGAAGGAGGUGUCUCCGCCGUGGUUGCGGUAAUGGGCCUCCAUUGCGGGUUCGAAUCGGGUCGGGUCGAGAUGAAUCGGAUUUACAGAGAGGUUGAGAGUAGUUUGAAAGAGGUGGUUUUAUAAUGGAGAUGAUAGAGUUCAGUGGCUUUUUUGUGUAAAUACGACAAACUUUAGGGACACUGAUUAGUCAAUAGUAUAUUAAAAUUAUAUUCACAAAUGAUCACAUAAGCAUAGAUUAAAAUAAACAAAUCAGGUAAGCAUAUAGUCUACAAAGAUACUAACCCAAAAAAGAUUUGUAAUCUGUUAGGUUUAGCAACUUUUAUUUAUAUUAUUAAAACAUGAUCACUAUUUAGCCUUAGUUUUGAUUUGUUGGAUGAUGUUACUAAAUUCAAAACCUUAUAUUAAUUAUGUAUGUUAAAAUGUUGCCUAACAAUUUAAUUAUAUUUAACUAAAUAUUUAAAUAUUUCAAAAAUAAAAUAAAAUAUAUAAAUUCACACUGAUUUUUAGAUGUAAUCUAAUAAUAUCCUGCUAUAUAUUUUUAUAAAGACAUUAUAAAUAUCCAAAUAAUUAGAUUUUGUAAUUAUUAUUAAUUAUUAUUAUGAAUUUAUAUUAAUUUAAAUUCUACUUAUAUACACAAUAUAAAUUUUAUAAUAUUAUAUGUAUAUAUAUUAUACAAUUAAAUAUUAAAUUAAAUAAUAUAUAUAUAUAUACACAUAAUAACAUUAUUGUGUAUAUAUAUAAUGUUAUAACAAUAUAAUUUAAUUUAUAAAAGUAAAUAUUAAAUAAAAUAUAAUUUAUCAUAAUUUAUAAAAUAAAACUGUAGAUAUUAUUACUUUAUAAAAUAAAUAUCUACACUUAAUUAAUAAUAUUGUGUAUUAUAAUCGAACAUGUUACAGUUGAUUUCUUUUACGAUUAUAGAUUUUUAUAGGUCGUCAAUUAUGCAAUAUGUUAAUUACAUAUGAUAAAGUUUUAACAAUAUAUUAAAUUUUUAAUAAAUUUGACCAGUGCAACUAUUUUAAGAAAUGUACUAGUCCGUUUAAAAUAAAUAAAUUAUUAUAUAGUUUUUAAAAUGAUUAUUAUGUAGUUGUAGUUAUUUUAACUUUAAUUUGAUUAUAGAAUACUAAAACACACAAACAAAAUAUUUUAUGAAUAAUGUUAUUCUGUAAAAUAAAAAUAUUUUAAAUCAAUGCAGUACAUAUUAAAUUUACAAUGAAUUUUUCUUACAAGUGAGAUAUCUCUUAAAUUUUUAUGAUAUUGUAUUACAAUACAUGUUACUAGACUUUGAAAGCGCGGGUUUAUUUACGAAAUUAAAUAAAUUAUUUUUAUAUAAUUUAUAUAUAAUAUAAUGUAUAAGUUUGAAUACAUUUAUCCGGAUGCACUAAACCGUAUCCCACUGGAAAAAAAACUAAAAUUAAGCUGAAUUUUAUAAAACCAAGCAUAUCAUAUAUAUUUGGAACCGAAAAAUAGAAACCGAAUUGAAAACCAAAUGAAUACUUAAAAUUUUAAAAUACAAAUUAUCUACCUACAAAUAUUAAUUAUAUUUAAUUUCUAAAUAAUCAAAUAUCCUAAAAUACUAUUUAUAAACCAAAUUAUGCAAAAAAAUUAAUGACUUGAAUAUUUUUUAUUCAAAUAAUUAAUAGUUAAGUAUUUAUCCUUUUUUUUCAAACAACCUAAACUACCCGAUUUAAAAUGCAAGAUAUUUUACAUUUGUGAAAAUUCAAUAAAACGUAUCAUAUGCAUUGUUAGAAUUUGUAAAAUAAAUAAAUAUGUUCUAUUUAAACCAGUUUUCUAUUACUAAUUCCAUUUAAAUCUCAUGCCUAUAAAUUCUUGCAAUAUAUUUCUUUUGUAAGUAUUCAAUAUUAAAUUUAAGUGACUACCAUAUUUCAAAAUACAACUAAUUUAUACAAGUGUUGCAAUUUAAUUGACUAAAAGAGUUAUUAAUUCUAUGAAAUAAAUACAUUGAACUUUCAAUAGUAUUAUAUAGUAACAUGGUAAGUAACUAAAUGAGUGAAAAAAAAUACAAGAGAAAGAAAUUACAAUAAAGAAUUGUACACAAUAAAUCAAUAUUUGUUAACAGUUAGGCAUCGUCCAGACCCCCGAAUAAUCCGCCUAAUCGUUAGUCGUCUAUUUAGGUAAAAACUUUAAUGGUAUAAAUUUUUUCCUUGCUGUAAAUUCUUGAAAUAUAUUAAUUUUGUAUGUAUUCAAUAUUAAAUUUUAUUGACUAUCACAAUUCAAAAUACAACUAAUUAAUACAUGUGUCACAAUUUAAUUGAUUAAAAGCAUCAUUAAUGCUAAAUACAUUGAACUUUCAAUGGUAUUAUAUAAUAAUAUGGUAGGUUAUUUAACGAGAGGAAAGAAAUUCAAGAGAAGAAAUUAUAAUAAAGAGACUGUACACAACAUAGCAAUGUAAAGAACUCACCAAAUUAGAGAGAAGAUAAGCCUUAUAUAUAUUUUAUUUGAGCUGGUUAUUCAUGACAUGCAUAAUAUAAUUCUCCAAAACUCACAAUACCUCUCGACUUCGUGAUUUCUUAUUCUGUUUUGGCAAUUAUGGCUGCGAAUUCAUGGACACAAGAAGAGAACGAGCAGUUCAAGGAUGCAGUGCAGAGGUUCUCUGCGUUUUUUCCCGAUCGGUUCGAGUGUAUAGCCCAGCGUCUACAGAAAUCGGUGGUCGAUGUUAAGGAGCAUUACCAGGAAAUGGUCGAUGAUCUUCUAGAGAUCAGAUCGAGUCAAAUAGCUUUAUCUAAUGGGAUGUUCGAUGCAGUUGAGCCGAGUUGGUGCCGGAUCGAGAAACCUAUAUGGGACAUAGAGGAACAUGAGUAAGUAUACAAUAUAAUGAGUAAAGGUUUUCCAUAGCUGAUGAAAUCUACAUUUUCAUGCACGUAUGAGUUUAUAUAUUAUAUCAUAAUGUCGAUAGAGUAUAUAAUGGUGUUAUUUCGUGGAUCUAUGUCUGGAAUCAAUAAGACUAACACAUUCUCUUAUUAGCUGCUACGAAAUUCGCGUAGUGAUAAAAUGUUUUUUUUUCUUUUUUUCACAGCGUAGUGAUAAGAUGUUAAUAGAUGUUUUGUGGCCAUAAGUAUUUUUUUCUUUUAAUAUCACUAGAGAUUUUGCCCGGGCUACGCCCGGGUAUAUUCAAAUAAUUUUAUAUUUAAUAUUUAUAUUACAAUAUAUUACUUCGAUGUUAUAAGAGUAUAAAUAGAAAUUGAAUUAGAAAUCAGUAAAACUUACAAUUUAUUUUUUUACUAUCUAAAAUAUGUAUGGGAUGGUAAACAAAUGCAAAAUUAAUACAAAAUUUGUUAAACUGUAGUUAUUAUCCAAAGUAUCUUUUCUGACAUAUUUAUGUUAUUAAGUAAAUAUAUUAUUAAUCUCCACAUCACAUAUUUCUUUGUAUAUGUAUUAUUUAUUUCAUAUUUAUAUGUUAUUUAUAUCUUAUUUAAUAUUUUAUUAUAUAUUUUUAUGAUAAUAAUCUAUUUUUUCAAUUUUAAAGUAAAGCUAAUUUAAAUACUCAUUGCUUUAAAUAAGACAACUUUAAAAAAAUUUGUAUGUGUUAAAUACACUGAAAAUGUUAAAUAUAAUAUUAUUUAUCUAUAAAUUUUUAAUGUUAAAUAUAAUAUUAUUUAUCUAUAAAUUUUUAAUGCUAAAUAUAAUAUAUAUAAAUAAUUAAUUUUACUUUUGCUAUAUUAUAUCCUUUAUUUUUGUUAUAUAAUAUUUGAAAAAUUAGGAUGAAAUAUUUUGAAUUUGCGUUUUGUUCUAACAUCAUUAUUUAUAUUUAGUAUAUAUUUUAGAUGUAAAAAAAUUGAAGUUUCUAUUAAUAUUUUAGUAAUCAUGUCUAACUCUUUAUUAAAAGUUCAAAAUAUUAUAAAAAAAUAUUUUUUUAAAAAACUUUCUCUUAUUUUAUGUAUCAUAUAUUUAUCUAUACAUCAUCUGAUUUAAUUAAAUAAUUUAAUAUAUAUAUAUAUGUAUAUAUAUAAAUAUGUUCAUAAAAAAUCAUAAAAUCUGUAAUCAGUUUGGAUAUUUAAAUAUGUAAAUUUAUGCCAAAAAGUGAUUCAAUAAUUUAUGUAAUAAUGUUGAUUUAUAGAUAAAUUUUCCUACAUAUGGGACAACUUAUGUUUGUAUGAAGCCAUGGUCAAUGCAUAGGCGAUGGAAAGUAUGGCAGCAAGUAAGAAAGCAUAGACAGGUUCCAUUGUUGAAAUUUCCGAAGCAUACCGUGCAUGUAUCGUUUUUUUUCUUCUUUAAUUGGAGGCCUAUUAGUUCUCUCAAGACUGGUGAUGAUAAGGUCGACGUCAAGUCUUAUAUUUUUGGUUGUAAUCUGUGAUGGGAAGAAUAACUUGAAGAUCAUCAGUUAUGUUAUUGUCAUCUAUUAUCAUCGGUUGUUUAUAAAUUCAUUAUGUAUUGGGUCGUCUCUUGGAUAAGCAGUUGAGUCGAGAUAUUAUAUUUCAUGGUAUGUUAAUAUAAAUUCAAUACCUUUGUUAGAGUCUUUAAAUUUAUCUUGAUUGUCGAUGAUAAAUGGUAGCUGAAAAUCAGUGAUAAAUUGGUCCAGGAUUCUUAUAUUUUUUACCUUCAUCAAUUUUAAACGAACUAUUAGCUUGGUUUUAUGGCUUCACUAAAAUUUUGGAAAAGCAUAGUAAUAAGAUGUGAUUCUUUUUUUAUAAACUAUAAUCGAGGUAAGUGCAUUGCUCUCGCAAUUACAAAAUAGUUACAGAACUAAAAUCAUGAAUCUUGGGAAUACGGCAUGUAACUUCUCCUAACCUAGUACUAUGCUUUGUAUAAAUUUAACUUAGUUUUGGCUCUAUAGUAAAAUAUCGGAUUUAUCUUUAUUGACAUAGAUAACAAAAUAGAAUUUGCAUAAGUCAUGCAUCUAUUAGGAAUUUGAGAGGUACCAUGUAGUCAGAAAAUGGCUUACAAUAGAAGUCUAAGGGCUUAUGCAUUAUGUUUCUGCUCUUGGCAGCACCCGUAAAUCCCACUGUACAACAACGACCUGUGAAAAUUUACGACCAAACUUCCAAUGUACCUUGGCGAGUAAGAUUUCCCACUUGGACCAGGGUCCUUGAGAUCAUCAAUGUACUUCCUCCAGACUAUCGUACCACAUCUUUCCUUUGCUGAAAGAGUUUAUUUUCCUGAUUUUGGGGAUCUAGAUGUUCUCUUGCGUGAGGACAAACUCGCCGUACAUUGCAGACGUCUUUCCCUAGAAUAAGAACAAAGAUAACUGAGCUCGAGUAUAUACAGUAGCCGGCUGCUAGCAAGUUGUGCCCAGGUUGUCACGCGUUUAUUAUAUGUAUUUUUUCUUCUGACCAAAGCUGCAAGGAACAUACAGCAGUAGACCAACAACAUUAUGAACACUGUGUAUCUUUUCUGAGUGGCCAUGUGGAAAGUGAAAGGGAGAGUAGUUCAUUUACAGUGGAAAUAUCAUUGGACUCGUAGGGGCUGUAGACACCAAUUAUGGAACCGGUGGAAACUCCAGCGAUGAUGUUGGAGGAACCGUCCAACUAUGAAGUUGUCGGAGCAAUUAUUUAACAUGAGCAAUCAGAAAGAAUCAGAUCAAGAACUCAAGCUCCAAGAUGGAUUUCUCAUCUCCUACUUCCCUAUAGAAGAACCAUUUGUCAAUUAGUAUCAGAUGAUUCCCAGAUUUAGACAACACAACACACCCUCAAAAUAUUAUUAACAAAAAACCAUUUUUCCUUCGAACCCAAACGUUUGAAACUUUGGGUGAAGGCGGUUGGCUUCUUCGUCAAACACACUGAGAUAGAGAGUUAAAUCAAGGAGCAGUUGUGAUGAUGCAAUAUCCAAACUUGUAAAACAUGUCCUCUUAAAUAUUUAACUGGUUGAAACAAUUGUUGAGUGUAUUACUACAGAGCCCUGACUUGGCCCAGAAGCCAUGAGUUUGCUGUCCAAGGUGAUUCCCAGGUCCUGCAAGAGACAGAGCCAGGAAAGUGAAGAAGAGUCAUUGAACAAAUAUUCUAAAGCUGCAACUUUAGGUAUUCAUCCAUAUAAAACGAAUGUGCAUAGCUAUUAAAAGUGAACCAGGAACCAACAUAAAUAUAGCGUAGAGAUUUUCAUGUACCUGAUCGAUGCAAAAGUUAACUAAAACUUUUGUGAAACGAAGACUACUCCAGCAGCUUGCUGGUAACUCUUUGGAGCAACCCUUUGCAUAUUAACCUCGUGGAAGCAUGACCAUAGGUUUUUAAGAGUUUUCAAUAUCUCAUUAAAAACACUGCACGUUUUAGCCGUUGAUGCGUAUAUAAGGUGGUUAUAUAUUGAUUUCAUUUCUUUGACCAUGAAGGAAGUUUAAAUCUAAAACAAUAAAGUAUUAGGCUAUGUAUAUCACCUACGUGUAUAACCAUCAUCAUAAGCUUACCCAUCAUCUGUUUUACUUGAAGGCACGUGAUUGUGGAAUCACCUGCACAGAAAGAAAGAAGGUGUCUCGGGUAAGAAGAAGCCAAUGAUGAUCCUUAUGAAGUUAUAAGCAUCACAUCACAUAGAACAUGAUAAAACCCAAAAAAAAAAAAAAUUAAACAUGACAAAGCCUACAAACGUUGUAAGAAAAGUAAGUUGACUCAAAAGUACCAUCAUCAGGUUAAGCCAUAGAUUAGAUUGGAAGUUUAACGGUGAUGAUUAAAACAUACUGACAGAAAGACCAAGUUGUCUCAUGCACCUGCUGUGGAUUUCAACGUAUUCUUCAUAAGACUGCAAAAACAAACAAAAAAAUAAGCACAAGACUUUGUCAAAGAUUAGACAAAAAACAUCACUUCAAAACUGGAGCUCAUGAUGCUUCUCAAGAAACAUAAGAAAGCCCCUUUUGAUGCAAAACUUUAGCUAAACCCUGAGAUAUAGUUGAAUAUGGAUCAGAUAUAUCCCGGAUGCUUAAAAAAAAAAACACUAUAAACUUUUGCUACAUUGGCUCUCGAAAGGCAAACCCCAUGAGUUGGAUCGUAAAUACUUUUCUUUCUCCCGGAAAUAUUCUGAGGCUACACCAUAUCCUCUCUGCUAUGCAACAUGGAAUCUGCUGAGGUCAUCCUGGUUUGAGUAGACCAUAGAAGGGUAGGCAUCCGUGUAUGGCCCCACAUAUUGUUAUUGUACUCUUCGUCUCCUGAGAAAGAUGGAGGUUCAACGGGAGAAAACAAAACAAAAGUUUAAUUGAGCCUCAGAGAACUAAAUAACUACAUAACAACUUCGAUUUAAAAAAAGGCAAACCUGCUUCGGCAGGCAGACAGGAAUCGUAAAAAGUUAAAAAAAUUUCAUACUUCCAAGAAACGCAGAAGAUUGCCUUACUACCGUAUGUGUAAUGAAUCAGAAGGGUUGAAUCUGGUGAAGAGUGAGAUUCUGAGUUUUAUGCAACCCUUUUAUAAUUGAACAGAUUAAAGAAAUUAAGAAAGGGUAACUUAAAUCGACUCCAUGGAAGAGAGUUAAAGGCGAAUCUUAAUAAUGGUUUCAAUGAAUACAAAAUAUAACACCUCAAUUACGUCAGAGCCGGUGGAGUUUCAAGCAGAUGAAGCGCGAUACGGGCUUCUCGAUUCUGAACACUAUCGGGCUGGUGAAACGCGAGGCCCAAACGACAUAGGAGAAGCGGCUGACGUGGCGGAAAUCUGAACUCCUAUUGGUCGAUUUUAUUUGGGGACGUGGACAGCCUCCCUAUUCCUCAUAUAACCCUUUUAGUAUUAGUUAGAUUUGAAUCAGUUAUGUCAUUAAAUAAUCGCAUGGUGGUGAAACAUGGUUGAAAGUGGAUUGAUAUCAUACUCAUAAUUUGAAUCUGUAAAAAAUAACACAAUGCAGAUGGUUCCUGAUCGGGUUAGAGCGGUUUGGGAGAAACUGUGACAAAAUAGCGGUCUUAUUGGUUACCAAAACCCCGAUGCAAGUGGCUAUCUAUGCACGUAACUUCUUUUAUUGGCACAACUCAAAGAACAAUGUCUUGAAGCGGCGGAGAACCAUGGACAUAACUAUGGGGGACAUCAGAGUGGACUCAUCUGGCCAACACAACAGAAUGAGGGGAAUCAAUAGGGACUCAACUGGCCAAGAAGAGAGACCUAUGGGGGGCGUCAAUGUGGGACUCAACUGGUCAACAAGAGAGCCUAGUUCCUUCGCAGCCGCACGACAACAAUUGGGCUAGUCGCGCUGGAAACCGGUCAGGAUGCUAGCAUUUCUGAUUCUGAAUCAACAAGAACAUACAAUUUCGUUGUGAAACUAUUUAAAGCUCAAGGACUUUUAAUGCAUUUUGAAUUUUGUUUUGCAAUUUUUUUCUUUUAUAUAAGCCUCCAUGGUCAUAUAUUUCUGAUUGUUGAAUCCGAAUUCCGUUUAUCUACUAAAUAUAAUUCGAGGUUAAAAAACAAAGACGAAAGGGAGUAUAAUAGGUGGGUUAGAUACUAAAUAAAAUAUAAUUGGGGUCUAUUUACUAAAUUAAAGAAAACACGAGGGUGAAUCUUGUUAUUUCCCCUAUUAAAAUCACAAUAAAUCCUAGAGAGAAAAAAAAGAGAAAACCCUCGAGAGAUAUCAGGUUCCCUUUGUUUUUUUUGAGAUCAGAGUUUUCCCAACAACUUUCUUGUUGCUUCUAUCGCAGUCCUUCUUGAGAAACCGCUUGCAAAUAUUAACCUUAUCGAAUCGGGUCGAUGUCCUAUUACAAAUUAUGCGGAUGGGAGCCCAUCUCAGACCAAAUAUAUGGAGAAAGAAAAAAAGAGAGGGGAAAUUUAGUUUGUUUUGGUUAGGUUAGGAGAAAGUUGAUAAACGGAUGAUGAACUGUUAGGGUUUUAUUGGUUAAGCACAUCAGCAUGGAUAGAAUACAACAUAUUUUGCAACUCAUUUAGUUUAGAUUACGAUCUUCUAUAUAUAUUAUAUAGUUCCUGGUUUUGUGUAACCUUUAUGGCUAUAUAUAAGUCAUAGUUGAAUGUUAAGAGAGAAACUUCAAUAACUUUUAUACAUUGAUAUCAAACUUGGUCAUGGGCUUCGGUUGAUUGUUUCGAUGAUAUUUCAGGCUUUUUCUGGAGGGACUAGCGAAAUAUGGGAGAGGAGAUUGGAAGAACAUAUCGAGAAAGAGUGUGAAGACAAGGNNNNNNNNNNNNNNNNNNNNNNNNNNNAAAGAGUGUGAAGACAAGGACCCUAACCCAAGUCGCAAGCCAUGCACAAAAGUAUUUCCUGAGGCAAGAGGCCCAGAAGAAGGCAAAGAAGCGCUCCAGUAUCCAUGACAUAAAUUCGAUAGAUCAUGCUGCUAACAAUGUACCAGCACCUCCAUCCGACUUGGACUCUACGAUGGGCCAGCCACCUUCUGAUCAGCAGGUGCCUCAAGACCAUUAUCAUUCCGACGAGGACUAUUGGACUUCGGUGAUGAAUAUGUAAAUUCCAAACUACGCUAACUUUUUUUAUUAAUUGGCUUUUGGUUCUUAGUUUUUUUUUCUUCUUCUUUUUGUACAUCUAAGUUAUUAAACAAUCCUAAUUUGUUUAUAGCCUUUGUUACUUUUGUCUAACCAGAAUUUUGGAAGCCACACUAGUCAUGUUCAUUCUUGAGUGUGCUUAGAAAAUCUUGAUGUUGAAAUAUAGGAUCAAGAACACUUUCGAACGGAUGUAAUCUCUACUCUGUAAAUAUCACAUAAACUACCCUCAAGCGAUGAUAGAGGAAACUUAUUUCUUGUUUGAUAACUACUCAAGGAUUUUGAUACAGGCAUGCAGCCCGUGAUAAUCCAAGAAAUAAGUUUCCUCUUUCAUCAAAGUCUUCCAUUUACUAGUUUAUUUUCAACAGUCUUCCAUUUUACUAGUUUGAUAGGAUCGUACGUAUAGUAACAAAUUUCUUGGAUACUAUCACCGGCUGUAUGUAUGUAUCAAAAUCCUUGAGUAGUUAUCGAACGAUAAAGGAUCAAACUAGUAAUUUUUCUUAUAUCUUUUCCAACACAACGACACAUAUACAUAAAUAUGUUAGUACUUAAGUAAUUCCAUAUUAAUAAUUAACGAGAUAACUAGCCGAACUAGAGUUUUCAUAUGUCAUUUUGGCUUUUGAAUCGAAGAGUACGUGAUAGGAGAGGCUAAAUAGAAUCUGUAUAUUGUUUGGAGUUUUAUUCAAAAACAGGAAUGUCAUUUUGACUUAUAAAAUUUGACUUAAAUGAAAACCAUUUUGUAUGAUAUGGUUAGAUCCGGUUCUGUACAAAUCUAAUCUAUGUUGGCUUGUUUUUCAGUAUACACUUAAACCAAUGUAAACCAAAAUAACAUUUCAGUAUAAACUGAAUUUGUAGUAAAUUGAAUGUGACAACAUGUUCAAAAAUGUAAGCGGUAUCUAGGCGCUUCUUUACGCAGUAAAACAGUUAUAGCUGCAACGUUUUUUUAAAUCUAAUUUAUGCUAUUCAAAUCGGUUUAAAUUAUUUAAAAUCAGUUCAAUUUGUUUAAAUCCAUCUAAUCGAUUGUACAUUUGUUUAGUCAAACAACAAUGCUAGUGCAAAUCCAUAAAUUUGUUUAAUCUUUUUAUUUGUAUAUGUUAUUUUAAUAAUUCAUCAAAAUAAUUUUAUAAUAAAAAAAAAAAAAACUAAGAUAUCUAAUUAAAUUAUAAAAUAUAUCAAUAUUUGUUAAUGCCUACUUACCUAGGCCUAAUCCUGAAUAAUUCGUUUAAUUUCUAGUCUUCUUUCAUUUAAGUAAAAAAUCUUAAUGGUAUAUAUUUUUUUCCCUGCUAUAUUUUUUGCAAUAUAUUUAAUUUGCAAGUAUUCAAUACCAAAAUUUAAGUGACUACCAUAUCUCAAAAUAGAAUUAAUUUAUACAUGUGUCGCAAUUUAAUUGAUUAAAAGUAUCAUUAAUGCUAUUAAAUAAAUACAUUGAACUUUGAAUAGUAUUAUAUAGUAACAUGGUAGGUUACAUGAGUGGAAAAAAAUUCAAGAGAUUGUACACAACAUAGCAAAGUAAAGAACUUACCAAAAUUAGAGAGAAGACCCAUAAGCCUAAUAUAAAUGUUAGUUGAGUUGGUUAUUCAUGACAUGCAUAAUAUAAUUUCUUCAAAACUCACAAUAUUUCCUCUCGACUUCGUGAUUUCUUAAUCUGUUUUGGCAAUUAUGGCUGCGAAUUCAUGGACAAAUGAAGAGAACGAGCAGUUCAAGAACGCAUUGCAAGUGUUCUCUGCGUUUUCACCCAAUCGGUUUGAGCUUAUAGCCCAAUUUCUAGGGAAAUCGGUGGUCGAUGUUAAGGAGCAUUACCAGGAAAUGGUCGAUGAUCUUCUAGAGAUCAGAUCGAGUCAAUUAGCUUUAUCUAAUGGGAUGUUUGAUGCAGUUGAGCUGUGCCAGAUCGAGAAACCUAUAUGGGACAAAGAAGAACAUGAGUAAGUAUACAACAUAAUGAAUAAAGGUUUUCCAUAUUUGAUAAAGUCUACAUUUUCAUGCUGAUUAUAUUAUAACAUCGAUAAAGAGUAUAUAGUGGUGUUAUUUCGUGGAUCUAUGUUUGGAAUAAAUACGAAUAACACAUUCUCUUCUUAGUUACUACGAAAUUCGCAUAGUGAUAACAUAUUAAUCAUAGAUGGUUUGUGGCUAUAAGUUUUUUUUAAUCUCAUUUGUAUCAAUUAUGUCAUUAAAUAAUUGCAUGGUGGUGAAACAUGAUUGAAAACGGAUUGAUCUCACACUCAUAACGAAAUUGAAUCUGUAAAAAAAUAACACAAUGCAGAUGGUUCCUGAUUGGGUUAGGGCGGUUUGGGAGAAAUUGUAACAAAAUAGCGGUCUUAGUGGUUACCAAAACCCCGAUGCAAGUGGCGAUCUAUGCACAGAACUUCUUCAAUUGGCACAACUCACAGAACAAUGUAGUGAAGCGGCGGAGAACCGUGGACAUAACUAUGGGGGACAUCAGAGUGGACUCAACUGGCCAACAAGGGAGAACUAUGGGGGGCAUCAAUGUGGGACUCAACUGGCCAACAAUACAAGAGAACCUAGUUCCUUUGCAGCCGCAACGACAACAAGGGCCAGUUGCGCUGGAAACCGGUCAGGAUGCUAACAUUUCUGAUUCUGAAUCGAAUAAUCUUCCAUGAGCGUAAACCAGAACAUAAAAUUUCAUUGUGGAACUAUUUAAAACUAAAGGACUUUUAAAGCAUAUUGGAUUUUAUUUUGCGAUUUUUUUCCUUUUAUAUAAACCUAUGGUUAUAUAUUUCUGAUUGUUGAAUUUGAAUUCUGUUUAUCAUAAUAUAAUUUGAGGUUAAAAAACAAAGACCGAAGGGAGUAUAAUUAAUUUGGGGGGGAGGGGGGGGUUAGAUACUAAUAUAAUAUAUUUGGGGUCUAUUCACUAAAUUAAAGAAAAACGAGGGUGAAUCUUGUGAUUUCCCCUAUUAUUUUCUCUAUAAAUCCUAGAGAAAAGUGUGAAAACCCUCGAGAGAUAUCAGGUUCCUUUUGUUUUGUGAGAUAAGAGCUUUCCUAAACAACUUGGUCGUUGCUUCUAACAUAUCUUAUGGGUUCGAAGCAGUGGACGAGGUAUGAGGACAAACUGUUUGAGAGUCUUCUGUUGAAGUUCCCAGAAAAUACUCCCAAUAGGUUUGAGGCUAUCGCCGAACAUCUUAAUGUACCGCUUGAAGAGGUGAAGCACUACUACAAAGCUUUGGUCCACGAUAUUAACCUUAUCGAAUCGGAUCAAUAUCCUACUACUAAUUAUCCAGAUGGGAUCCCAUCCCAGACCAAACAUAUGGAGAAAGAAAAAAAGAGGGGAAAACCUUGGACAGAAGAGGAACACAGGUUAGUCUAGACACUGAUGAAUUAGGGUUUAUGUUGAUUGGGGGAAAGCAUGAAUUAACUAUUUAAACUUUUUAUUGGGGUGAUAAUUUAGGUUUUUUUUUUGUUAGGUUAGGAGAAAGUUUAUAAACGGAUGAUGAACUGUUAUAGGGUUUUAUUGGUUAGGUAAUCACAUCAGAAUAUACCAUAAUUUGUUACUCAUUUAGUUUAAAUUAUGAUCUUGUAUUAGAUUAUAUGGUUCCUGAUUUUGUCCAACCUUUAUAGCUACAUACAUAAAUCAUAGUUGAAUGUUAAGAGAAAACUUCAAUAACUUUUAUACAUUGUUGGUUUAUUGUUUUGAUGAUAUUUCAGGCUUUUUCUGGAGGGGCUAGAUAAAUAUGGGAAAGGAGAUUGGAAGAACAUAUCGAGAAAGAUUGUGAUGACAAAGACCCCAAUGCAAGUCGCAAGCCAUGCACAAAAGUAUAUCCUGAGGCAAGAGGUCAAGGAGAAGGCAAAGAAACGCUCCAGUAUCCAUGACAUAACUUUGAUAGAUCAUGCUGCUAACAAUGUAACCGCACCUCGAUCCGACUUGGACUCUACGAUGGGCCAGCCACCUUCUGAUCAGCAGGUGCCUCAAGACCAUCAUCAUUCCGACGAAGACUAUUUGAUUGAGAAGACGUAUACGUAAAUUCCAAACUAUAAAAUCUUUUUUAUUAGUUGGCUUUUGCUUCUUAGUUUUUUUCUUCUUCUUUUUGUACAUCUAGUUAUUAAACAAUCCAAAUUUGUUUAUAGCCUUUUUUACUUUUGUCUAACCAGAAUUUUCGAAGGCACACUAGUCUUGUUCAUUCUUGAGUGUGUGCUUAGAAAAUCUUGAUUAAGCGUAGUACUAGUAACACUAACUAAAUGAUCAAUGGUUAUAUUUAGACAAUGUGAAAGGCUCUUAGAGCAGCAUUAACGCAAAGCAGAAGAGGAAAAAGAGGUGGGUUUUCUGAUUUUUGUGGACCCUCCACCUCUUACAAAAAGAGUCAGCGAUAAUGCUGCUCUUAUUGUUGUUGGGGACUAGUAACAAAUUGCCCAUUCACCUUUAGUCAACCAUUUGACUUGCCAAUGAAUUUUUGACCGUGCUUGUUGCUACCUUUUCUUUUCUUAUAACCUUUCAAAUCUUCAGUUUUCUCGUUUUCUGUACAUAGAGCUCUUGAGUAACAGAAUCUCAUCGUUAUUCCCUUCUAUCGGUCCUUCAACUAUCUCAACUCUGAUGUGAUCACGAUCAAUCUUUCUUUCUGUAAGGUUUUCAAAAUUUUCGGAUGGAUCCAAAACAAUGAUGGCUAGGUCCUUCCACGUAUUCAAUCCAGUGAUCAAAAUAAUCUUUUUGAAGCAUUAUCAGAAGGAUUUUUAGCUGAUCGGUCUACCUGACCACUUGUUCUAGGAUUAACUUCUUCACGCUGAGAUUUCUGACUGUUUAUUGCUAGAUCAUUCGAGGUGGUCAACACAGGCACAGACACCGUUGUUAAUAAAAUUCCCCAUGUGACUAAUCAUGACUAUUGAUAUUAUGUUCUAUCUCAGAAUGCUUUAAACCUAUUGUCUUUACAUCCAUUUGUCGUACCAUUACAUAUAGACUCCAAAUGCUUCAAACUUCCGUUCUUACAAACACGUUUCUAAAAAAUCUUCCAAAGUCAAGAGCAUGAAUGUCAUAUAACUCAGUUUUUUGCCACCGUCGGAGCCAUUUGAUGUGGAUAUAAUAAAGGAGCAAAAAGUGACAGUGAAAGGCAACGUGCAGCGCAGCCAGACGCAGUUGUGCAAACGGAAAAAAACAGGAAAUAAAUAGUCUUUCUGGGACACAGGCUGAAACAGCCAAGGCCUAAAGGAGAAACAGAGCAUUUCAUGUGACUAUUUUUUAAUAAAAUAUGCAUGGAAUCCUUUUUAUUUCUUCUAUUUCUGUGACUUGUAGCUGAGCAUUUCUCUGUGGAGCUAAAUUAUUUUAGUCAUUGAAGUGCUAUGGACAUUUUUUUCUUUUGGUAAAAUGCUAUGGACAUUUUUUAACGAGGCUUAUGGUAAUUUCCCCCCUGGACAUGCUAAAUCGGGCAUUACCAAGCCUAAGGAUUAGAGGAUGGGAUGACCAAAGACCGUCGUUCAUGUUGUUUAGAGAGUUUAAGGACAGGAUCAAUCUCAUUGUUCUUUUCAUUAUCCAAAGAUUUGGUGUUAUUUCCCUAUAGCGUAAGAAGAAUUUUUCUUAGCCUCUCGAACGUUUAUUGAUUUGAGGAAAUGCAAUCUCCUCAAAAUCCUAUGAUACAGAGAUUUGAGUGUAGCAUCUUAGUUCGAACUGAUUCACAAGUUCAUACACAACUCAUGAACGAUUCCAUAGUACUUGUGGUCUUUCCUCAGGCAAUUGCAGCUUCCUCAACCCAUGCAAUGCCUAGAGAGCCACGUUGUUUGUAUCUUUCCAAACAACUCUAAAUGUAUACAAGCUCUACAGACUACAUGAGCUUCCAUGUACUCAUAAAUGCUUGUGCCCCACACAUGCAUGAAUCUGAAAUACACGUGCUGGGUCCAUGCAAGGAUUGGACUAAAACGAUGCCAGCAGUCAUGAAGUUGAUGAUCAGUAAGAACUUCGUCAGAUGAAACAUCAACGUUGCCAUUGCCAAAUAUUCUUUUCAGUAUGGAGAAAGAUAAUGGCUCUGCUUCUUCAUACGAAGAGCAGACAAGGUAAUUUUCUCAUGGAAAGAAAACACAGAGGAUCCCUCUGGACUAAAGUUCCACUCAACUAGGUCCCAGGACAUGGGAUGCAAUCAGAAAUAGAGCAGGAAAACAGGAGUGGACGUCAAACAUUUGGCUUAAAGGGUCUGUCCCGAGACACUCUUUUAAUUUCUAGAUUGAUUCUCCUCGAUAGAUUACCAACAAGGCAAAGGCUUGCUAGCUGAGGUAUCUUGAUUUAUGAUUCUUGCUGCCUAUGUGACAUGGUCCAGGAGUCAAGAGACCACUUAAGUUACUUCUUCGCUGUGAGAUCAGUGAAAGCAUCUGGAAAAUGUCCCUUCAUAGGCUAGGUGACACAGGUCCUUUUUUCCAUACUUGGACUUCUUUUAUGCAUUGGCUCUCCCACAGAGAUUCAUCUUUGCCCACUCCUGGUUAAAAGGCUUGUGGGACAAGCUGUUGUGUAUGCGUUGUGGACAGAACGCAACCGAAGACUCCAUGACGGUAUAUAUUGCUACCACUCCAACGGCAAUAUACAAGCAAAUCGACAGAUUUAUAUAAGGGACGCUAUCCUAGGCAAUAGAAGACGGAAACAUUUCCAUCCUCUUAUGCAACACUGGCUUCUUUAUGAGUAGCUGAUCUAAGCUUCCUAUUAGCUUCUUUUUGGAGUUUCAACCUUGUUUUUAAUGAUUUUUGCCUUGGUUCGUUCUAACAUUUUUGUAAAUUUACAAACUCUGUCUCAUAUUAUUUAUGGAAUUCACAUAUUUGGCAAAAAAGAAAGACAAAACAAAAGGUUUUGUGUUGUUUGACUAGCAUGCAUGCAUUGUACGAAUUUAUUGAUAUGUUUGACAAUAAAUGUAAAUUUUAUACUAGAAGCCAUAACUUCUUUUUCACAAAAUAAUUUUUUCGUCAUCCAUUUUGAGGUUACGUUCGCCUUGCAUGUCUCCAAAGUACUGUAAGAGAAUUAAUAGUAUUAUAUCUUGUUAAUUACUUGCUAAUUACGGAAUAUUUGUUAAAUUUUCCCUAGUCUCUUUAAUUUCUCGGCGGUUUCAGCAGAGGGGACCUCUGAUUGUAAGAGCAUCUCUAUUGGUUAGAGCCUUUAAUGGGUUCUUAAAAUUAAUUUAAUAAUUAAUUGUGUAUUUUAUGAAGUUUAGAACCUUUAUUAAUGUAAUUAGUUGUGUGAAAGUCCAAUGGGAGAACCCCUAUGAAGUUCUUAAUUUUUUUUUUUUAUAAAUUGAAUUAUUAAAAGAGAAUUUCAACACUAAUGAAGAGACCAUUAAAGCAAAGAGGUUUAGGAACAAACUUGGGAUAGAUGCAUAGAACGCGUCAUCGUAAUGAUCCUUGUUGUUCACGAGAUACGCAGCUUGUCCGCAGUACGAUAGAAGAAGACAAGGAAACACAAAUAAGGUGAAGGCGAGCUGUAUCGCUAGUAACGGGAAGUAAGAAAUGUCUGCGUAUAGAGCCUCAGUGCCUGUUAUGCUGAGAAGAAUGCCGCCGAGGGAGAUCCAACCAUCUCGCCCUCGUCUUUUGAAGUAACCACAACAAUGUCUGCAACAACAACAACAAGUAGUAAAGUUAGAAAGAACUAACUAGCAUAAAGGUGCAGUGAAUGGAGUGAUCGAGAAUGGAGGGGGAAUAGAAACUGAUUUCUUUCGCACAAACGCCGACGAAAGAGAGAGAGAGACAUUAAGGGGGUCCAAUAGAAAACCGCCACGUAAGGAUUUCUUACCAAUUCUAGUAUGCCCAAAUUAGACAGCGGUUCUCUGUUAUUUUUGAAUUUUUCAUUUUUUUUUUACUUUUGCUUAAAACUCCUAUUAGAAGACUCGCGAUGGAGUUGGUCUAAAGGAGAUGCUCUCAUGUGUCCCCAAUUCUACUUACAUUAAGAGGACUUGGGGGAUUUCCAACUCACUAAAAACCUCACAAGAACAUCAUUAUCCAGAGUUUUUAGGGCAAGGUUCUUAGGAGAAUAUGAGAAACUAUUUCUUAAUUUUUAACUAAAAAAUUAAGAAACAGUUUCUUAUAUUCCCCUGAAAACCAUGCCAUAAGAAAUCUUGGAUAAUGAAUAGCAAAAGAGAGAGAGUGUACAUCUCUCUUUAUCGCGCAGACAAACUCUUCGGGACAUGGCAAAGGGUGGUCAAAUUUGCCAUAUGUACGAAAGGGUGGUAAAAUUUUACGCAUUUCCUGCGAGCCUUGACUCAGCCAGGUUAAUUCAUAUUAAUUAUCUAGCUAGUUACUCAAAACUUUGCAUCUCACCUAUUAAUGUUAAUAUUGUUCUUUCUUUUUGGUCUAAAUAUUGUUCUUUCUUUCUUUUUCAGACUGAUACAAUCACUCUUCCCCAAGGUUACUCAUUCUAGAACCAAUUCAUGUCCUAGUAACCUUAGAGCAUGAUUAUUGGGAGGGGUUCUUAAGGUAGAGUUUUUAGCGGAAUAUAAGAACCCGUCUCUUAACUUUUAACUAAAAAAACUAAGAAUCGGUUCUUAAAAUUCUUAUUUAAGAGCCGGUUCUUAGCUUUUUUAGUUAAAAGUUAAGAGACGGGUUUUUAUAUUCCGCUAAGAACUCCACCUUAAGAACCCCCGAUAAUCAUGCUCUUAGAGCAUCAUUAUCGCACAAACCCUUAAUGGAUUUCUUAUUUAUUUAUUUUUUUUUGUUUUUGUCUGAUUAAAAAAAUAAAAAAAGAAUCAAUCGUGGGCCGCCACGUGUCAGUGGGUCCCGCGAACAGUUGAAAAAACCCACCGAAAACGUCUCUUAUUUGGCGACUUGGGCAUACGGUUUUUGUUAUUUUGUGCCCCUCUUGUACUUUUUGCUUAAGAUACCUUUUUUUUACAGGGAUAAAGAUGCUCUAAGAUGAUUUUAUUUUUUACCAACAUAAUUGGUAACCUACCCUUUUCUUGUCUUAAAAUUGUUCUUUUUGUUCACUUAUAUAUAUAUUCAUUCACUCUUGUUUUUCAGGCUCCACUCUGAGAAAGCAUCCCUUGCAUGAGAAAGGCCAAAGAUCACCAGAAAGGUUGGAUACUCUGUCAUGUAUCUUUUUUCUGAUCCUUAUCUUUGUGUUGGAUAUGUAUUUACUAUUUAGCUGUCUUGUUCUUUUUUGUGUUGGAUAUGCCAUCGCAGUGAAAGACUUGAUAUCCAAAAAAUAGGGUGGGGCACAUGCCACACCCUCUAAUACACUAACACUGGGACUGCCCCUGGUUUUGAUCUUCUUCUUUUUUUUUUCAUAUUUCCCGUGAGAACAAUGACAAGACAGAUUUGUUGGCUAAAGAGACCACUUAUGGGAAUAGUGCUUAUGAGAAACUUUUAAAACAUAUAUGGGAUUUCCCGAAUGUAUUUGAUACAUAUUCCAGAUUAGAACUCGUCUUUGAUGUUUUACAAUUUACAACCAAAUUUUAUAAUACGACUGUUAAAUAUUAUUGACUCUAAUUUACCGAAAUUGUUCGCUCAAAACAAAUAAAUAAAAUAAUAGUGAUUUUAUAAAAUCGAUACUGAAUUAAUUUAUAUUGAUAAAAAAAAAUAUAAACCAUAUAGGAAAAGGAAUGAGGAAAAAAGUCGUAUAUAUUAAUCUUGUAAGAGUGAGCAAACGAAAACCCUAAAUAACAAUUCAAGCCACCAUCUUAAGACUCACGAUGAUGAGAAAAAACACAUUAAAGAUGUCGGACCUUCCAUGUGAUUUGAUAGAGGAGAUACUUUGUCGCGUUCCGGCUACAUCUCUGAGGCAUUUACGAUCUACUUGCAAACAAUGGAACUUAUUGUUCAACAACCGGAGAUUCACAAGAAAGCACUUCGAUAAAUCCCCAAAGCAGCUUAUGACUCUCAUGUUGAACGAGUCUAUGGUUUGUUCGACGAGAGUUAAUCUCAAUGGAGUUCCAGAGGUCACAAGCGAACUUAGCCUAGUUGACCCUCUUUAUAGUAGUUUAAUAGAUCAUGAGUUCGAUAGUUAUGAAGUCUUUCACAGCGACGGCUUAUUAUUAUGCAUCAACGAAGACAACACUAGACUCGUGGUCUGGAACCCGUGUACUAGUCAAGCUAGGUGGAUCCAACCCAAAACACGUGUCAGCAGCCAUGCUCUUGGAUCCUACCAUGGUAAUAGCUAUAAAGUAUUGAGCUACCACCCUGACUUCGCAAUCUUUGAUGAUAACUCUAAUUCAUGGAAGAGUCUUGAUAUCACCCCCGACUGCACCAUAGCAGAUUCUGAACAGUUCAUGUCUUUGAAAGGAAAAACUUACUGGUUUGCUUAUGAUAAAAAAGAUGAGCGUCCCAUCAGCAUAUUCUUACUCAGUUUUGAUUAUACAAGUGAAACGUUUGAACGUCUACGUCUUCCGUGCCAGAGUUUUCUCUAUGAAACUAUGUCUAUGUCCGUUGUUAGAGAAGAGAAGCUUUCUGUGUUGUUACAGCGAGAUUAUACGUCAAGGACAGAGAUAUGGGUGACAAAUAAGAUUGGUGAGACCAAAGAAGUCUCGUGGAGCAUGUUCCUAGCACUGGAUUACUCGCCAGCUGGACUUCAUCUUCGGGAUACCGUAAGUUUUUUGGUCGAAGAGGAGAAGAAAGUCAUCGUGUGUUGUGAUAGAUACUUGGAAGAUGAAUUCCACGGCAAAAAGUUGAUUCACAUUGUUGGAGAGCAAAAUCAAGUCAGAGAAUUUGAUUUUGGAGAAGCCAAACGGUGCCCGAUUUUGUUUAAUUAUGUUCCAAGUUUGACACAAAUCCACCAAGGUGUAGGUGUGGGAGGGAAAAGAAAAAGAGAUACAAUUAACAGACAAUAUGCUGGAAGAUGGUCCAAGCUUUUUCACAGAGUUUAGUGGUUUUGUUUUUGAUGGGCACAAGUUCUGUUGAUUUUAGUUUAGUGGUAUUUUUUUAUACUACGAAAUGUUUCAAGUGAGUUAUACAUACUUGUUGCUAUUGCAUUACUUUUCAUCAUUUUUUUGUAACGUUAUAUGAUCAGGAUUCAGGAAAGAUCUCUCAGGUUCCAGAUCUUUCUUUGACAUAAUUUACAUGCAGGUUUGCAUGCUUCUUUAGCGUAAUAAAUUCAAAGAUAUAGAACACGACUGACCUAACUGAAUUAUGUACAAGAAUUAAUGAGACCCAAAAUAAAAAAAAAGACACAAAGAACUUUUACAAAUAAGUUUGUGGGGUUUCUCUCAUAACAGAAAAGUCUACCAAGUGGCAAAAAAUAACGUGUGCAAGAAUCCAAUUAAGAAUAACAACAAGUCUAAAAAGAAUGAUUCUGUCAUGAAACUCCGUAAACAACAUGAACCAUCGUCACUUUGAUCAUCUCGUCCUCUGCAUUAGUCAUUAGUAAUUUUUUUAAACAUGAUUACCAAAAAAACAUGAGCGAACAGUUUAAACGUAUAGAUGUGGAGAACUCGCAUGUUAAACCAAGACCAGCCCAUUUAAUUUAUGUCCAGCUUUUUUUUUUCUUCCGUUCCAUACAAAUACGUUGGAAAUAUGCAGUUUACACGAGAUUGGCAAUAUUUUUGUUCGUGGAAUCUAUAUAUAUAUAUAUAUAUAUAUAUUAAAUGGAUGAGAAGACAAUGGGUUUUGAAGCAUUCUAAGACAUAACGUGAACGUAACAUCAAUUAUCAGUGGACGUGACUGCUGACAUACCAAUUGUUGAUAUUGAUCUCAUCUUGCAGCAACAAAAUGAUGAAACAGUCACUGCAGGAAGUCUCCCUACAACUUCUGUUAGUGUGCCUCAUGUUAACUCUCAACCAGAGUUGAACAUGAACAUUCAGGAUGUUCCACGCUUGCAGUCGGACUUGAUAGCGGAUUCUCAGGAACCAUAUGUUUCUACACAUGCCCCUAUGGAAUGCCAAGAUAUUCAAGUCUCAAAGAUCACCACUAGUUCCUCUACCCCACAGGUUCAAGAGGAUAACCAAAUAGCAUCGCCAACUUUAGCCAAGAUUUUAUCGCCAUUAGUAGAUAUUGAAUCUACUCCCAUUUCAGCAUCUAUUAUGGAGACUUCUCCAUCCAACAUUAUCAACAAGGAGGUCCAAAAAACUUUGAUUGUUGAUCCUUUACACACAUUGGCUCAAGCAAGUGGAUUUGAGAGUCCUUCUCGGUUCACUGCGUUAGGUGAUGUGGAAGAGGCCCCAGAUGAACCAAUGAGCUCGCUCGGUUUGACAAAGGGUUUGAGGGAGAUUAGACCUCCUAAAAAGUUCCAAGAUUUGGAAUGGAAAACUGCACGAGGGAGAGGUAAGCGCUGCUGUCGCGGCUGUGGUAACACUCGCUAGUAGCUCUUUUUCAUUUCUUUUUUGGUUUUGACUCUCUCAUGCCUUGAAUGUUUCAUAGGUUUGAGAUGUUAUUCGUCAUGAAUUGUAUUCAUGCAAAUUUUUUCUCACUAUAAGGUCUACAACCUUAUUAUGUAAACGUUUUUAUUUUAAUUGAAAGCCCUUUGUCAAAAAAAAAACAUCAAUUAUCAAUAGUUUAUGAUUAGUCACAGAAGAGGUAACGUUCCAUUUAUCGGAUGAAUCUUUUCACAGCUCCAAUACAUCCCUCGCAUGACCUAGCCACUCACAGAACAAAGGAAUACAACAGAAAACAGAAAAACUAAGUUAGCGCAACCGUACAACAAAGUUUUUACAAGAACAUUUAUUAAUAAGCAUAUCACAUUGCUUUCGAUCUAAAAGAGUUGUGUUCUGUAUAUUUUUCUCAUGUUGUAAUUGCUUCUUCUUUAUAUUAAAUACAAAAUAUUUGAAAAAAAAAAUUGCUUGCUUUAAUUCAUCCUUGAUUAAAAAAAACUUUGAAAGUGAUAUCAGUAUGUAUAUGUUUUACCGCCGUCGCAUUAGAAACAGACAUCACCACGUGCAUCACGUGACGACCUUUAUCCGGAAUUUUACCGUAGCAUCAGGUGACACCCACGUGUCGUCACAGCUUACUAACCGAGUAGCAAACAUCGAAUCGUACACGUGUCAUAGCGGCCACGAAACGGGAAGGUCCUUCUAGUUCCAACAACAGUAACGACGCAGCAAGCAGAGGUAAUUAUUGCUUCGUGUUUAAUUGGAGCUAUUUUCGAUUCGAAACGUUAAUGAUAGCAUUUGUUGUGAGUUGAUUUUGUCAUGUGAGAAGAAAACAACUAGCUCUAAACACCUGACACCACAAAAAUAUAACAAAAUGAUGUGUUUAUAUAAGAAAUUGUCAAAUAUUCAGUAGCUGUGUUGGUAAAGUAUGGUGACUGAACCCUCAAAACCCAGAUUUGAAACUCACCAGUGUCACCCACGAAGUUUUAGUGAGCCCUAGCUAGGACGAAAUUUUGAAAUAAGAUUAUGUCCUAUCCGUGUACUGCAAACAUAGCAUAUAACAUUCUUCAAAGAACAUGGUUCCUGAACUUGUGGUGAUAGCAAAUACAUUACCAUUCCCAAAACAGAAAGUAAUCAUUUUGUCCAUACAGCAAUCAAACAUACCAAAAAAAAAUGAAAAGGGUAAAUGUUUAUUGGUGGUCUCAACUCAAGUAGAAAGUACAAAUGGACGAUCUAAUACAUAAUCUUUAUGCAUGUUACCAAAGAGUAACAAAUAAGAUAUGAGACUAGAUUCUUUGUUUUUGUGUAAUUCCAAAAGAAAAGCUUUAUUCCCCCGUUUUAGUUGUUGGGAGAUCCUUCGUAUGAAUCGAUCAGCUCCUUGAGUUUCUCAAAUCCCUGAAAUAUUUAUUAUUUAAACAAAGUUACUCUCUAAGCAAUCCUAAGAAUUCAAUAAUCCUCUGAAAAGUCUUACCAUGCGGGUUGUAAAUUCUCCAAAUGAUUCCUUUGCUUGUCUCCCAAGUUUCCAGUUGUAGAACAAUGGUUCAAAGACCUUCUCCAAGUCAUGAAUCUUCACCUUGUCCAUGAAAGCCCUCGCUAUCUGCGUCUGGUUCGGUGUUCCCCCUAACCAAACCUGCAUGAAACAGCAGCAACACAAAGAACCUCCAAUGAGCUUUUUCUUCUUCUGUUGGAACUCAUUGAAAGAAGCUAGCCAGAGAAGCAAUUAAUUUACCUGGUAGCUGUUUGGACCAUCCCCUACUAGACCGACCUCAGCCAUGUACGGUCUAGCACAUCCAUUAGGACAACCAGUUACUCUCACCACAACGGAUUCGUCAUAAUCAAGACCAACCUGAUACAAGAAAGAGUUUACACAUCAACAACCAUCGUUAUGGCAUAAAAAACUGAGUGGAUUAAUCUUUUUAGCUAUCAUACCUUCUCAAACAUUGCUCUCACUCUCUUUAGAAUGCUGGGGAUUCCACGCUCUGCCUCGGUUAUAGCUAGAGGGCACAAAGGAAAAGCUGGACAAGCCAUUGCGGUCUGGUUGAGAGGGUCUACAAACUCUGGUUGCUGCUCAAAUUAAUAGACUCUUGUCAACUUAUAAUAUCAAAAACUGAUUUCGUCUACCAUGACGAAAAUGAAUUACUUACCAGUAGGCCAGCCUGAGCAAGCACUGUGGUGAUAGGACGCUUCCAUUCACUCUUGAUAUCACACAACACAAUGUUUUGAUUAGGUGUAAUACGCACAUCAAGUUUGUACUUCUCGAUGACUUCUCUCAGUGUCUUUUUCAUGUUACCGCCAACACGUCCACUGUCUACAUGAAGCCCACAAAACCAUGCACCAUCUCCCUGCUCAUGCCAUCCCAAAUAACUCUUGAACUCCCACUCUGGCAAAUCACGUGAAGCCUCAAACUUUUUACCAUAAUAUUGCUCAACCACGUCUCUAAACUUUUCAAUUCCCCAGGAACUGAGCAGAUACUUCAUUCUACUGUAUUUGCGAUCAUCUCUUCUCCCGUGCUCUCUCUGUGUGACAACUAUGGCCUUCACAGCAUACAAGAUAUCCUCCUUAGGUACAUAACCUAGCGGUUCUGCAAUGCGUGCAAAAGUAGACUCCAUUCUGUGUGUUCUUCCCAUACCUCCACCAACCUGAAAGAGGACAAAAGAGUUAUUACCACUAGGCAUAACACAUUUAUAGGUUCGUUGAGGUUUGGAUCCUAUCAAUUAACCGAACGAAUCAUAUAUCUCUAGAACGAAAAUACUGAAACCAAACCGGAAACGAGAACCGAGUGGAUACGAAUUUCUAUAAUACAGUCUAUGUACUUAUAAAUAUUAGCUAUAUUUAGUUUUAAAAUAAUCAAAUAGUUAAAAAAUAUUAUUUAUAAAUUCAACUACCCAAAAAACCUAAUCAGAAUAUUUUUUAUGCGAAAUAUAAAAUUAUCCGAACUAUCCAAAUUUCAUCCGAAAAUUCGAAAAAAAAUCUGAUAUUUAAUCCAAAACGAAUUUUCUGACUUUUUAACCCAAAAAAACGAAACUCAACCGGAAUGAGAUCCAAAGUUACCUCGGAUAUUAACCGCUUCCUUUGUUACAUGAACCAAAACAAACCAAACCGAAAAUCAAAUUAAUCAAACCGAAACUAAGCCAAAGCUUCUAAAUGUCCGAACAGGUCCUAAACCUCUAUAACCGAAGAUUCGAACCAGGAUCGAGAGUUAAAUGCUCAGGGCUACUAUGAAAGAAACUAAUAUAAUGUGAGAUGAUGAAGCAAGUGUAGACACUUACAUAUAUGUUGAAGCCCUGAGGCUCCCCAUUGUCAUCAGAAACAACAACAAGACCAAUGUCAUUGGUCAAAAGAUCAACAGAGUUAUCCGUAGGCACAGUCACAGCGAUCUUAAACUUCCUCGGCAAGAACUGAGUGCCAUAAAUAGGCUCAGGAGAGUCGACGAAGUUAGUCCCAUGAGAGUUAUCAUUCCUCGCCUCGACAACCUCCGGCGGCUCGGCCGUCAUAAACCGCUCACCAUCCACCCACAUGUCAUAGUAAAACCCCGACUGAGGACUGAGAAGCGCCGCGACGUUAUCAGCCGUCUCCUGCGCGAAUAGAUAGUCUUUCCUCGCGUAAGGCGCGGCCGGAGCAAGAACGUUCCUGUUCAGAUCACCGCAAGCUCCAAGAGUGCUCCCCAUGUUUCUGAUGAUCGAGCUCAUCACGGUCUUGAGAUUGUGUUUUAAAACGCCGUGGAGCUGGAACGUUUGCCUGGUGGUUAAACGGAGCGUGCCGAUGCCGAACUCGUCGGCUAAGUCGUCCAUGGUGAGGUAGAGCUGGUUAGGGACUUUGCCGCUCGGGUUCUUGGUGCGGAGCAUGAAGGAGUAGGAUCUUCCGCCGCGUUCCUCACGGUUGUACUGUUGGUAGCUUCCGUGGAACUUGAUGAGCUGCACGGCGGAUUCGUUGACAUUGGGGGCUUCUGUUAGGAGCUCCUCGUUGAGAGGGUACCUGAUGAAGUUGCUCUUCUCCUUGAUGAUCUCGACCUUACUCCUCUUGGUGGUGGCUUUCGCUGCUGCCUCAGGCUGGAGAAUAACAACAACUUUAGAGAAAGUCUCUACGACGUCGUUUUUAGAUUAGAACUAAUAUCAAAGAAGGGAUUAGAUUCUUACAGUGGAUACGGCUUGGAUUGAUGAUGAAGAUGACGACGAUGGAGGUAGAGAAUGAACACCACCACGCACGUUUCUUCCGAGGAAAACAGAACGAGAGGAUCUCAGAGCGUUGAGAAUCUUCUGAUCGGAGGAAAACACAGUGGCGGCGCCCGCCGGGGAUCGAAACGACGUCGUCAUGGGUUCAGAUAGAGAGAGAGACUGAGAAAGGUUCGGCUUUUCAGUGGUUCAUAUAAGAAAGCAGAGCAAAAAUUGGCAUGCGUUGAUAAAAUAUUUUAAUACGAAAAAAAACAAAAAUUUGAGACCAUGGUCAAAACUAAUGUGCGCAGUCAUGUGCUUGACACGAGACAUUAAAUCAGAGAUGGCUAACCAAGAGAGCGCGUGAAUGACACAAACAGUCGAAAGAUGAGGAGACUGAUGCGCGUGUCGAACGAUUGCUGCUAAAUGGCGCGUGAGAGUAAUAUUUGAUUAUAUACUGAAGUACCUAACCGGUUUUUGGUACAGGAUACAAAGUUGAUGGUGAACUCGGUUAUUCCUACAGAACAAAAGCUGUAAUCUUACGUGGCUGGUGUGGAUUGGUUAGUUGUUGAAUCCUAUACACACACGUGCGAGAAAAGCUGUGUACAGCGACUCUCACCUACUUGGCUGCUCGCUAGCACGAAGGGCUAAUAGGUUCCGUGGUGGGCACAGGCAAUAAUUUGUAGUUAGUUUGCUCAAAUAUUAAUUUUUACUAUUCAGUUAUGAUUAUAAAUACUCUAUAAUAUUUAUCACAAACCCCAUUCGUUAUAUACUUAUAUACUGUUAAUGACAUUAUAGAUAAACAGAAAACAGUAUGACUUUGAAAAUAAACAUCAUUGUCUAGUAGACUCACCCCACCAUUAGCACUAGAGUGGAUUUUAGCCCCACAAAAAUGGUGGCCUGAGUUGAUGGAAUAUUUCAUUUGUUAAAAAAUGAAGGAAAAUAUAAAUUUGCGUAGGAAGGCAUUUUAAAUAUAUGGAGAAGAAAUCUGAGUAAUUUCAGAAAGAAGAAGAGGCAGCAUUUUAACAAGCUCAGUCAUCAGUGCAAGAUCCCCUGAGAAAUAAAAUAGACUAUAUACUAUAUAUCAAGUAUCAAGCAAGGAUGUUUGUUAAUAACUGUUCAUAUCUAUGGUUUGAUCGAUAUUGAUGUUUCACAAGCUCUGGAGAAACACAAUAAAUUAUAUAACUAUAUGUAUUAAUGUAUAGAUAUAGUGUGAAUUGUGCAUCAUGCAUAUCGUUUUCACGUACCACUACUCCAAAAGACAUUUUGAUAUUGCGGUGUAUACAGUAUACAUAAAUAAAUAAAAAAGAAUCCUCACCAACUACAACUUUGGAUCGGUCCCUCGUAGUUUAUGGAAAUCAAGAAAUACACCAGCUUUUAGAGUACACAAAAUAUGAUAUAUACGACAAGAUCUCUUACAUACGGUAUGGAAUAAGUAGAUGAUAUUUGUACAACCAGGAAAGCAUAUUACAUGAAUAUAAAUUUGAGACACAAUAAGUUGCAUAGUAUAAGUCAACCGAUCGAAACCUAACUAAACUGCAACUUUCGAUGCAUCAUGCAUGUGAGGUUAAAUACAAACAAUUUUUUUACUAAUGCACUUUAGAGUGGAUAAUACAUGUAUUUACAAGAUUUACAUAGCAUUUUAAAUCGGUUUCAAGCGGUUUUUCCUUGUAGUCAUAUGAAGUAUAUAUAUGAAAGCAUUAAGCAACCACGGCUUGUUUUUAUUAGGAGUUUAGAGCGGUGCUCGUUGGCCUGGUGAAUCUGGAGAUUAUAAACUAGUCAACCAGACGCAUUACAUUUAGUUUUAACGUCUCUUUAAUUUCACCAAACAACAGAUUCUGGAUGUCUUAGUCUCAUUUUCCUUUUUUUUUGUAGUAUAUAUGUCGCUGUUGUCUUGUUCUAAAAAUUCAACAAAUGAAGAAUGGUUUUGGACUUUUAAUCCGACUUUGGAUUAUCCAAGUGAACCUUUUAUAUAUUUAAUACAACUCAAAUUGUUGAUAAAACACCUGUACGUAGAUAGUUUCAUAGUUUGUUGUUAAGACCGUGGCAACUAGAGAUAAGUUCAACCGUCCAAAAUUUAAAUUUAUAUAAUAAGAUGUUUAUACAUAACAGAAAGAGACUCAAAUCAGUAAUUUUUAACAUUUAUAAUUGGAUAAUUUUCUCAAAUAACUAUUUUUAGUUUUUGUUACAAAAAUAACUCUCGAAAAAGAAAAUGACCAUAAUAAUCUCUUUUUAUUUUGAAAAUUUUAAUUUUUAUAAUUUGAAACUCUAUCUCAAAACUUCACUCAUUAACUCUAAAUCCUAAGUUUAGAUUAAUUAACCUUGGGUAAAAAUACAUUUUUACUCUUUAAUAAAACUUAUUUUGGUCAUUUUUUUAUUGAAAGCUAUUUUUAUGACAAAAACUUUAAAAAACUAUCCUAUAAAAUUUCUCUUCGUUAAUUUCAUAUACUUAUUAUUUAUUGAUUUUCAUCAAAUCUAAAUUUAUAUACAAAACAUUUCCUUUAAAAUUAAAUAAAGAAAUCUUAACUAAAUUAAUUUUGUGAAUUGACCUCAGUUUUUUUUGCCUUUGGACUUUUGUUUUUCUAUAAUACCACAAAUUGAAUUAUUAAUAGAUAACAGAACCAAAACAAAAACAAAAAAAAAAAACGACAACGCAGUACCAAACUGUGUCGUAUUAUCGUUGUGGGGGGAAGAAUCGAAUCCAGCGUGACAACAAUUGAUCGGAAGGUGAAGAAGCUCCGUCACCGUCUCUUCUCCUUCAUCUCUCGUUCUCAAUGACGCCGCCGAGACCACCGUCAGGGAGACAAAGACCGCUGCGUUAUUAUUCAGAUUCAGAGAGGACCGAAGGAGGUAGCGGUAGUUGGGACACCCUCGAAUGGAACAAACUCGAUGUAAGCUUUCUCCUUUCACCCAACAAUUAGACAAAACAUCACGAGAAUUGCGUGUUUCUGGCGAUUUUCUUAAAAAAGUUCAUAUUUUGUGGAAUUAAUUGCUCAAAAUUUUUUAAAAAGUUCUCUUUUUGGAUUUGAUUAAGUCGCAGCAGACAGCUUCAGGUUCAAGUUCAACAUCCUUUGCGAAUUUGAGUUGCUUGCUCGAAUCCGAGAGGGUCAUCGUUGAGGUAUGUCUAUUGAAAUCCAACAUUGGUUUUGUUUUUGUCUGAGUUUGGACCUUUUGUUGUUGUAAAGGGUUAUGGAGUUGUACUUAUCAACACCGAUGAGGCAGGGACCUUGUUGGUGACAAACUUUCGUAUUCUCUUUUUGGUAUGAAACAUUGUGUCCUUUCCCUCUGUUGCUUACAUGUGUUUCUCAAGCCACUUGUGAUGGAUAUAUAUUCUUUGGUUUUAUUUUUGUGAAGAGUGAAGGUACUAGGAAGGUCAUCCCACUAGGAACGAUCCCGUUGGCGACUAUUGAGAAGUUUAACAAAACGGUCAGUUGCUAUAUCCCCUGUGGCCUGGACUGAGACGUGUCAUUGAUACUUACCUGAGGUUUAAUACUUUAAUGCUACUUUUUGUAUGUACAUUAGGCGCUGAAAGUUCAAUCAAACAACCGUCAGUCCGACAAGAAUCCACCAAGACGUCUUUUACAGGUCACUGGUAUGUUUCCAAAUCUAAUUAUACACAAGAGCUGAUCUGGUUAAUAAGAAGUUAUAUUGUGAUGGUGACGUUAUAUGGUGUGAUCACUUGCAUUUUGCAGGCAAAGACAUGAGGAUCAUUGUUUAUGGAUUUCGUCCUAAAACCAAACAGGUGAAUCUCUUACUUCUUCUUAUUCUAACACAUUCCUUUCUCCUUGGAAUAAUCUGUAUAACCUUUAUGAUCAUACUGUUGCAGAGGCGUUCUGUGUUUGAUGCGUUACUGAGGUGUACCAAGCCGGAGAGAGUAUGGGAUCUUUACACUUUUGCUUGUGGGCCUUCCAAGUUUGGUAACGCAAACCCAAAGGAAAGAUUGCUUAAUGAAUAUUUCCGGCUUCUUGGAAAAAGUUCGUUACGAGCAUCGAUGGAUAUGAUUGAAGAUGGAUCAUUUACACUGGAGAAUGAGCUGUGGCGGAUAAGUGACCUCAACUCCAAUUAUAACCUGUGUCAGACUUACCCUUUCGCCUUUAUGGUUCCGAAAUCUAUAAGGUAGGACAGGGGAGUCUUUUACGAACUUACCAAAUUAAAAAAAAUCAUUUUCACCAUCUUUCUAGUGAGUAUUGAUUAAAAGAUCUAACAAAUCUGUGUUGUUGAUAGUGAUGAAGAGCUGCUCCAGGCGUGUUCUUUCCGGGCAAAAUGUCGCUUACCUGUGAUCACGUGGUGUCAGCCAGGUGAAAAUGCAGAUGUUCUGUCUGCUGCCAUUUUAAUUUUUGUGGUAUUGGUUCCACACUGACAUGCUGCUUUUUGGACUCUUUUUGCAGGCAGUGGUGCUGUAAUUGCACGCUCAUCACAACCUUUAGUGGGUCUUAUGAUGAAUAUGAGGAGGUAUAUCAGACUUCCAACUUUUUGAGGAUACAUUUGGAUAAUAAUUUAGUGGAUUUUGAAGUUCUUGAAGCGAUUGAUUCUGAAGUUUCAUUUGUUUCACUUGUCUCAACAGUAAUUUUGAUGAAAAACUUGUUGCUGCAUUCUGCACUCAGCUUGGUGCUAAUAAGGGAGAACGAAGGUGAGCUUCUGGCGUCCCUGUGAUCUGAUUGGCUCUUACACAUCAUGCACUUAUCUCAUCCUGUUAUAUCACUUUGCAGGAAGCUUUAUAUUGCCGAUGCGCGACCUAGGAAAAAUGCAUUAGCAAAUGGAGCAAUGGGAGGCGGCUCAGAAUCAUCUUCAAAUUAUUUUCAGUCUCCAGUUAGUAAAUGAUCUUCUUGGUUUGAUGUUCAACAUCUUGAUCUUCUUGAAUUGCUUGAUUUUUAUUGACGGUGUUCUUUUCUUCAGAUUGUUUUCUUUGGCAUUGACAACAUACAUGCGAUGAGGGAGAGCUAUUCCCGACUCAGAGAUUAUUUAGAUAUGCACGGUGCAACAUCUUCUGAUGGGAGAUCAUCGUUCUUGGUGAGUACUGAAUGUACAGAAACUUUCUGUAAUUAAAGUUAGUAUAUAUAUAUUAAAAUUUUCCUCCAGCACAUCCAUGAACUUAAUUCAGAAGAACUUAAUUUUAUAAUGUAUUAGCUUCUUUUUGAUAGGGCUCCUUUAAGAGGAUGCAGUAUGAUUUAUUAUACUUUUGUUUCUUACUCAUGUUGCUAACCAUUAAGAUAUGUGUGUGGAAUCUGCAGAGACAUACUGGUUGGACUUGGGGAGGAGGUAACCUUAGUAGCAUGUCUGCUUCCGUGUCUUUACUUGGAGACAGUGGUUGGUUGAUACACAUCCAGAACGUCUUAGCUGGUGCCGCAUGGAUUGCUGCACGUGUCGCAGUGGAGUCGGCUUCGGUUCUUGUGCACUGCAGGUUAGCUAUAAGUUACAUCACCACCCAACUAUUCUAUCUUUGUGGCAAUAUUAAGAUGCAUCUGUUUGAAUCGGAAGAUUCUAUUUACUGUUAUUAGCAUUUGUUUGUUAUUUCAUGACUCUUAAAGUCUAUGUCAUUGCGCAGUGAUGGAUGGGACAGAACAACUCAGCUCGUUUCUCUUGCAUGCUUGAUGCUUGAUCCAUACUACAGAACCUUUGCUGGGUUUCAGGUAUUGUAUUUUCGUGUUUACUGGUUCCAUUCUUGUAUGUGGCUAAUUAUGUGAAAGCCUUUAUCUAGUUCAGGUUUUAGUUGAAGCUUCCUUUGAUUUCUCACAAAAUAUAGCUAUGUAACUAGACGUGUUUGUUAAUGGUUACAUCUGUAGCUAGGAGUAACUUCUAAUUGUGCACAAAAAUUCUAUAUAUGAUUCUUGUUUGCUACACCCUCGUCUUAUGUAAUUUUUUUUUCAUUUCCCUCAUAUCAGGCUCUUGUGGAAAAAGAUUGGCUUGCUUUUGGUCACCCGUUUUCAGAUCGUGUAGGAAUGCCUAACAUAUCAGGAUCUGGUAACUUUGACUUUCCAAGGCAGUCUUCUUCUGCUGGAAGCUACCCUUCAUCUCCAGUGCGUCAGUCCACGCAAUCAGGAGCCUCACAAUCUCCAAGCUCUUCCCAUGCACAGAACAAUUAUUCUCCUAUAUUUACGCAGGUGAGCGAGCAGCUAUUCUUUGCAACUAUAGCAAUCCUUUUGGUCUGUUUAGAUCUCUGUUUCAGUACGUUGGCAGACAAAGAGUUAAUACAAUGUUCACAACUGUGUUUGCAGUGGGUUGAUAGUGUUUCACAGCUAAUGCGGAUGUAUCCUUGUGCUUUUGAAUUUUCUCCGGUAUGUAUAAAGACUAACAACUUCAUGUUUAACUUCUUCUAGUAACUAAUAGUACUCACUGGAAUUUAAAUUUGGUAUUGCAGACUUUCCUUGUAGAUUUCAUGGAUUGCUUGCUUUCAUGUCGUUUUGGGAACUUCUUAUGCAACAGGUACAUCCAAACAAAAAUGAUUGUGAAACCACUUAAUUGGUAUUAUAUGUUUGACUAAAAUGUGAGAUUAUGUAAAUUUUCAGUGAAAAAGAGAGGCAGCAAUGUGCGAUUGCUGAAGCAUGUGGAUGCAUAUGGGCCUACUUGACUGAUCUUCGUUCUCUCGCUACAACUUCUCAUGUCCAUUGUAACCCAUUCUACGACCCUUUGAAAUACGAUGGCCCGUUGCUACCUCCCGCAGCAUCUCUAGCGCCAACACUUUGGCCUCAGUUCCAUCUCCGGUGGGCAUGUCCCGAGGAAGCUACAGCUGCAGAUAUCGAGGUCCAGUGUAGAGCCAUGAGGGCGAAGUACUCCGAGAUGCAGAAGGUCAGUUAAUUAAACUCAUCUGCUUCAUUUAUCGUGGUUUUUAAAUUCUAACACAUUCAAAUGUGCUUUUGAAAACAGGAGAAAGAGGCAACAGAGAGAAGAGUGGAUGAGAUCUCUUUUGCAAUGGAGUCAUUAAGCGCAGAGCUGCUAAGAGAGAGGCGUAUGAGUUGGUCCGCUAGAGAAUCAGCAAAACGAGCCACUAAGGAGUACAGAGCUUUAACCAGAGCAGUGCAAUCACUCGGCUGCAAGGUUAACUUCACCACAUCUGAUGUGGAAGACGCCCCUCUGGAGACUAAUAACAAUAAUAAUAAUAAUAAUUCUAGGAGGCGAGACAGACAGGGAAACAACUCGGAUGUUUCUGUAUCUAUCUCGCUAAUGUCGGAAGAAAACAGAAGUGAAAACCAGGUGGGGAGAGUUUGUGAAGCGUUGUGUCCACUGCGGACAAGGGAAGGAGUGUGCAGAUGGCCUGAAGCUGGAUGUGCUCAUCUCGGAAGUCAGUUUGUUGGUUUAAAAACUAACUUUGAUGCGUUUGAUAGGCUUUCUAUCCAUGAAAGCUAUUUCAAAUCUGAAUGAAGGGAUCAAGAUCUCGAUGAAGAUGUAACUUUUAACAGAAUAAAAGGGGAUGGAGGAUCAUAAGUAUCAUCAAACCGUCAAAAGGCGGGAGCAUAACGGUAUAAACUGACACAGAGUUUUUGGAACAAGGGAGAGUCUCUGAUCUUUACUCUUGAGUAUAGCUAAAAGCAGGAGGAUGUGUACAUCUCUCUCGGUGUUUUAUGUUUUUACUUAAACCACUAUUUGCUUUAGAUUUAUUAUUCUUUUUGGUUAAAAUGAAUAAGGUUGAAAAGUGAUGUACAUACAGUUCAGUAUAAACGAUUAUUCAUAACAAAAAAAAAAAUAAACUAGUAUUCCUCUUUAUCUGUUGUUCAAAUAAAAGAAAAAAAAAAGUAUUCCUCUGUAGUUAUACUCUUUAUUCUAAAAAGAUGUUUAAAGAACUUUUGAUGUUAAGAUUCUUUCUAGAUAAAAUUUAGCCAGUCAUGUUGGGUUCUAAUGAUAUUUUUUAUAUAAAAAAUAGUUCUUUUGAUAUGUGUGUUUUAUCUAAAAAAUUAUUAUAUUUAGGAAUGGGGAGUAUAUUUGACUAUGUUCAUGCAAUUUCUGGCAAUUCCGCAGUCUGACUGACAAUAUAAGAGAAGAUGUCUUAUAACCAAAGUAACGGAUUCAUAAACUAGAUCAUGUCAAUAUAGACCUGAUAAAAGAAACUGAGUGAGAAAGAAGAGAAACUAAUUCAAAACUUAAUUUGAACACAAACUUAUGGCUCAAGAAACUUCCUUGAAUGCAGAGAAGACUCUUCUCUAAGCAUACAACGAGAUAUAGUGAUCGUUAUCAAUUAAGUUAACAAAAAAAACACAAAGAAAAAAAUAGAAAAAUGGGAAUCAAUUGACACCAUAUCAUGCAUCAGCCUAUGAGUCUCAACGGUUUUGAAGAGUUUCAAUUGCCUUUUUCCACUGCAAAGCUCGUUGUUUCGAGUCUUCAAACGAUAAAACCUUCUUCGGCUGCCAACAAACAAUCAAACAGUCAAGUUUCAUCGCCUAGAAAUAACAAAAGAAAAAGAAAAAGAUUGUGUUGUUACUGUGCAAAUCUUGAAAUGAGAAGGACUCGAGACUUGAACAUUGAGGUCGUUGGAGUUAUCAGACCAGAUGAUAUUCCCUUUCACAAUAAGCUUCGAUGGAUCCACGUAGAUCAGUCUCGGUUUGUUGGUGAGUAUUAGCUGCACCUUCUUGCUCGUGAUCUUCUGUAGCUUCUUCACUGCUGAUAUCAUUAGAACUGAUUCUCCCGGUUCAAGAAACUGUUGCCUGAUUUACAAAAGACAACGUUAGGAUUUUGAAUACUGAUUCAGUGAAAGCCUAGUAGUAGUUGUCUCACCAUCUCGAAUCAAAAGAGUCUAUAGAGGCAAGCCUUGUUAUGGAGCCUGAAGAUUCAGAAGCUGCAGAGACGCCACCGUGUCCAUCGUUCUGCGUGACUGAAGCAUCUCCAACAUGUGUUGGGUUCCAUGGAGAACCAUCCCUCUCUGGAGAUGCUGAUUGAGACUGCACAAGACAUAAAAGGAUCAAGAGAAGGACGAGACGGUUGGGAGUAUAGUGUAAGGAGGGGUAUAUACCGAAGGAUCUGGAGCUAGUUUUGGUGGAGUUUGCGAUCUAACGUUCUUCCAGUCAACACCUUUGAAGAAAGGAUGUCUCUUGAGGGAAGCAUAACCAUCUGAUCCAGCUCCUGGUCUUCUACUAGGAUCUGUAUCCUGAGAGAGAGAGAGUACCAGAGGUCAACACUUGUGUUUUAGUGUUAAAGUGGAGCAUAUCUUACAAGUAAUCGGUCGAUGAGGUCUCUUGCUUCUUCUGAGAAAUGAUUUGGGAACUUUAUAUCUCUCGCUAUAAUCCUUUGGAAAAUCAGCCAUUCACUUGCAUCCUUGAAUGGAGAAGUUCCUGAAAGCAUUUGGUAUAGAGUGCAGCCGAGUGCCCAGAGAUCGUUUCUGUUUGAAUACGUUCCAAAAAAAUACCAAUAAAAAUGUUUUUAAGUAAUCCACAUAAUCAAAAAGCUCUCAAAAGUUUGUUCUAACACAAACAAUCUUACCCGAAAGUUGCUGGAGAGGAGUUGAGAACUUCAGGAGGAACGUAUGCCGCCGUACCAACAAAAGUGCAAGCCUUAUCAUCUGCAUAAGUCACCAGUUUACAUACAUGCUUACAAUAGCUACCAAAGUGGACAUGAAACUUCAUAUUUUUACCGGAAGCUGCAUUGGGAAGAAGAGUGAUCUGGCUGUCUUGCAUAGGCUUUACACUACCAAAAUCAGCAAUCUUAAUGUGUCCAUCUGAAGUCAGCAACAGAUUCUCCGGCUAACUCAUUCAAAAACUCAAGUUAGCAAAUAAUGUACUUGUUUGAGUCAAAUGCUAUUAACAAAAGAAGAAGCUUACCUUUAUAUCUCUAUGUAUGAGUCCCAUAGUAUGUAUAUACUCAAGAGCAUCCACAACUUGUGCACUAUAAAACCGAGCUUCAUCCUCUGAUAAGCGACCUUUCUGCCAAAAAACACAAAACACACAACAUUUCAACAACAUAAACCAACCUCACAGAUUCUGAAUAUAGUAGUAGUAAUCUUACUCUUGUGAUCUGGUCGAAAAGCUCCCCACCUUCACAAGACUCAAGCGCCAUAUCUACAAAAGUAAAAGGACUAAAGAUCACUUCAUGUUCAAUCACAGAGAGCCUACGUGCGGAAGACCAUUAGUUUCUCAUUAUUAUCUUGAUUACACCGGCCUUCCAAACUGAUUUGCCAUAAGUAGAUUGGCGCUAACCCUUUAUAUAUUAGUUAAUUAAUUCUCCAACUACCACCAAUGUGAGUACUUUUCAAUCAUUUUCAUUAAACAGUCUAAUACUCUAUAGAAGAAGCAUACACAGUGAGAACGAAUCUUGAAACGUGAAGAAGAGUUUAACAAUCCCAGGAUGAUCGAGCUGAUCAAGAACAAUCCUCUCAAGCUUAACAUAAGCUGUUUUAUUCUCCUUGGUGAUAAACUUCUUGUCCAUGAUCUUCAACGCGUACACAGCUCCAUUCUCCUUCUUCUUCGCCCUAACAACCUGUGUAUAUUCGAUUAACACACCCAUAAGCACAAACUCUAUGUAAAGUAUCGAUUUUUAGGGGGAAAGAUGAGACCUUUGAGUAAGAGCCAACGCCAUAGAUCUUGUCGAGCUCGAAAUCCUGGAUGGUGAAAUUCUCCUGUGGAGCUUUGAACGCGAAGCUUUUGCUUCUGGAUAUGCUCGCGCCACCGUUGUUGCCUUGGAGGGUGAGCUUUGAAUCGAAUUCUUUCUCCAUUGUCAUCGACUUUGUUCUUCUUCUCUACAUGUCGAUGAUGAGACCCAUCAGAAAUUCGAUGAAGGAGAGGACGUGAAGAAGAAGAAGACGAAGAAAGAAUCGGAUCGGAGAGGAGAGGAAUGUGACACUUUCAAAAAAAAACAAAAAAAAAAUUGAGGAAAUUAAUUAUUUCUAUUUUUAUUACAUUAGAGGUAACAUGUUCUGUAGGGCCUGGACCAAUGGAACCGAACCAUUGGGCUAACGAAACAGCUGAAAGAACAUAGAGGAAUGUGACACUUCCAAAUUUUUUUUACUUUUUAAAAAAUUAUUUCUGUUUUUAUUUUGUUAGAGCAUCUCCGAAAGAAACUCUAUAACUUCAAAUAUAAAAUUUUUUUGUUUUCCAAAAAGGAAUUUCAAAAUUUCAAAUUUGAAGUUUUGAAGAGUGAAACUCUAUAUUUGAAAUUUCACAGCUCAAAACUUCAAAUUUGAAGUUUCAUAUUUUUAUUUGCAUUUUGGUCUCUACAAUCACACAUCAUUUUUAUGAUUCAUAAAUAUUUUCAUGUUUAUUGUUUUAAUCCUUAAAAAAAUUAUAUCUCAUAUAUAUUUUAAUUUUUGUUUACAAAAUUUAAACAAAAAAUUUUUGAUUCAUAAAUAUUCUCACAUAAAAUUACAUAUAACUUUAAAAUAAGAUUUAAAAUAUUUUAAAUUAGAUUUAGACAACAAUAAUAUUCCAAAGAAACUCAACAAAGAAGAUUUUUUAAAAUUACAUGAAGACAUAACUAUUACACAAAAUUAAACAUUACAACACUGAUAGUCAUGUAAGUUUGAUCCGGAACCUUCAAAAAUUUCAAAUAUUUUCCAAUUUUUUUUGUUAUACUGAAGAUGGUUGUUGUUGUUGUUUUUGACAUUUUUUUCGUACAAUUCUUUAUUGUUCAUAUAGAAUAUAUUCACGACUAUUAAUAUCAUCAAAAAGAAAUUAGUCUUUUAGCAAUAUUUUAUGUUUAUCUUUUACUUUCUUUUUCUGAUCUUAUGUAUUUACAAGUAUCAAUAUCACCCGAUUUCAACAAAUUUUAGCUCGUAAUCUACAAAGUAAAAAUGAGGAGAGCCAUUUUUACUUCGAAAUGCACUAAUAGAUCAUAUAUGCAUUACGAAAAUCAUUUUAUGGAAUUAUAUGGUAUUUUGUUUGAAGUUUAAUAUUAAUUAAGUUAUUUUAUUUAAAUUUUUAUAGAAUAUUAUAUUUAUUAAUAUUAUUGUAAUAUGUUUAUAUAUGUGUUAGUUAUUUACAAAAUUUUUAUGAAUUCAAAUUAGUUAUGAAAAAUAUAAGGUCCAUAUUAUAAAAUACAAAUAGUUUUGAAGUUAAAUUUGAAGUUUUGCUUUUGGAGAAAAACACCUUUAAACUUCAAAUAUAGAGUUUUAGAAACUUCGAAAUAAAGUUCCUUUUUGGAGAUGAUUUUAGAACAAGUAACAUGUUCUAUAUCGCUUGGAACCAAUGUACAGGGCUAAGGAAACAUUGACUUGUAUGUUGUUCAUAGGUUUGGGCAUAUAAACCGAGAACCGAAAACUAAUUGGAACUGAACUGAACAGAAAAGAAAGUGAAUCCAAAAACGAACCAAUGUUUACAAUCCCCAAUAGUAGAACAGGACCUGAACCCAUUGGUUUGAAACAUUUGAAUGAGCCCCACCAUAUAUAGGAUCCCCAAUUUUUUUUAAAAAAUGUUUAAUUCCAUGUACUAAUCUAUGUUAGGGGGUGUUAUUGGAUUGGAAAUUAACAAAAAGUUAUAUAGAUUUAGUUGUUUUGAUGAUUCUAAGGUUAUUCAUUUACAACUUUUCAAAGUAUAUUAAAGUCUAGUGUUAUGGGUUUAUAAAUUUGUAAUGAGUAGUUAAAAGCUUAUAGAAAUCUAGAGUUAUUGGAUUCAAUAUUUUACAAAGUCAAUAAAAGUUUUGUGUUAUUCAAAAGAAAUGAAACAUGUAUGGGGCUCUACUUCUGAUUGCCGUAAGUGAAACCUGUCAACAAACCACAAGCAGCUGAAAGAUCUUGCUUCCGGCUCUUCAUAUGAUGCUCCUUAGAUUUUUUUUCUUAUCUCUGUUGUUUGCAUUAUCAUCACUUGCUCAUAUUGCUUUUAGUUUUAGCCCCUGAUGCAUACAUAAUUUUUACUAGGUGGUUGCCCGCGGCAGAUAUAAAUAUUGUAUGAAAAUAUAUAUUAUGCAUACAAUGUCAUAUAGUUUGAAACAUUAAAAAUAUAAUUUUUAACUUCGAAUAGUUUGAAAAUCAGUCAUAAAAUUUCCAUAAAUUUGAUGUAAAAAUAACUGAUGAAUAUUUAGUAAUAAAAAUACUUGUGAAAUUAUAUAUGUAAUUAUCACAAUAACUUCUCCAACACAUAUUAUGCAUAUUAUUCGGUAUCUUCUUAUUUUUUCAUUAUCAUUUCGUUCUUUUUAUUAAAUUAUUGCUAAUGUUUUCCUACAUUUUUACAUAUUUUUUGCCAAGUAUUUAUUUCUCUCUCUAAAUAAUAAUACAAAACAUACAAUCAAUAAACAAAAAAUCCAUCUUAUAAUUCUAAUCAAUCACAACAUUAUUAUUUUCAAUCAUAAUAUUAUCUUAUUUACUAUAUUAUAUGACUUAAAUGAAAAAUAUUUUUAAAUCAAAAUUCUCGCAUGUUCCGUUAAAUAUAAUAUGUCCAACCUUCAAAGCCUAAUUAUUUAUAAAGCAUAUAAGGACAUUAUAAGAGAUUAGUUAGUAUUAUAGAUAUGACUAUAUUUUUAUAUGAAUAUGAAAUCAUUAUAUCGAUUUCUAUAAAAAAAAAUUAUAUUCAUUAUUUUAUUUAGUAUAUAAAUAUAAAAAGAAUUGAUCAAACAUUAUUACACUUUCUAUAACUUUGAAAAUUAGCUACUAUUAAUUUUUAUUUGUAAUAUCAUUUAGGUUAUUGUGCAAGUGAUAAUAAUUACUUUUAGACUUAUCUUUUAUUUUAGAUCUAAUAAAAAUAAUUAAAAUUAUAAAAAAAUUAGUUCAUUAUAUUAUUUAGUUUAUAAAUAUAGAAAAAGUUAUCAAACGUUUUCAACAAUUAGUUCCAUAAAUCAUUAUUUGUAAUAUAAUUUAGAUUAUUUAGCAAGUGAUAUUAAUUGGUUCCAGAUUUUUUUAAUUUUAAUCUAAACGAAAAUAAAUAAAAUUAAAAAUUAUCGACCAAGCAAAUCAUAACAAUUUUCUUAAGACUUCACAAAUGAUCGACAUGUAAGCAAAAAUUAUUUAAGUGACUUCUCGUUUAAUAGUAGAAUUUUUAUUUUUAGAAAUGUUUUAUUAACUCAUACAAAUAAUUUAAAAUUAAGAUUAAAUAAUUUUGUAAGCCAUGAUAGAUAGUUUUAUAAAUGUUUUAUUUUUUAAGAAAUGACUUAUAAGACAUAUAUGGACAUUAUAAGACAUUAAUAAUUAUUAUAAUUUUUAUAUACGAAUAUAAUGUUUUAUAUAAGAAUAUGAAAUCAUUAUAUCGAUUUCUAUAAAUUGUGUUCUAAUAAUUAUUUUGAGUAGUAUAAAAAUAUAAACAAAUUAAUCAAAUAUUAUUACAUUUUCUAUAGUUUUGACAAUUAGUUACCAUAAAUUAUUAUUUUUAAUAUCAUUUAACAUAUUUGGUAAGUGAUAUUAAUUAGUUUUAGACUUACUAUUUAUUUUAGAUCUAACUAAAAUAAAUAAAAAUUGAAUAUCUUUCGACCAAAUACAUUCUUUCUUAAAUUAAUAUUAUGAUUUUUUCAUUUAAUAUAUAGGAGGAUUAUUAUGAUUAUGUGCGUGCUAUAAAAAAGAAUAACUUUAUUGUGAUUAUUCCAUCGAUUUAGGGAGUAUUUUGAAGUUUUAUUAAUUUAUUUGAUAAAAACUAUUGAAAGAUGCUCAUUUACCAUGAAAAAGAGCUUAGCAUACAUUAAUACAAAUGUAGAAUAUGGUAGAAAUUUCAAAACAACACUAAAGAUUAUAGGCUUCAGUAUAUAAAGUAUUUACCAAAAACUCAAUAUUUUUGUAAGGGUUAGCCCAUAGAUUUUGAGAAAAUUUCAAAAAAUAUGACAAUAUUGUUUUAAUGCCUAGUUGCAUCCUGCACUAACAUAUGAUGAUGUUCAAAGAGGUUUAGAGCCUUUGUCGUCUCCGUUUAUCAAGAAAAUAAUAAUUUUAUAGUGGUUAUUCCAUCGAUUUUGGGGGGUAUUAUGANNNNNNNNNNNNNNNNNNNNNNNNNNNNNNNNNNNNNNNNNNNNNNNNNNNNNNNNNNNNNNNNNNNNNNNNNNNNNNNNNNNNNNNNNNNNNNNNNNNNAACUCAAUAUUUUUGUAGGGGUUAGCCCAUAGAUUUUGAGAAAAUUUCAAAAAAUAUGACAAUAUUGUUUUAAUGCCUAGUUGCAUCCUGCACUAACAUAUGAUGAUGUUCAAAGAGGUUUAGAGCCUUUGUCGUCUCCGUUUAUCAAGAAAAGAAUAACUUUAUUGUUGUUAUUCCAUCGAUUUAUGGAGUAUUAUGAAGUUUUAUUAAAUUAUUUGAUAAAAAUAAUUGAAAGAUGCUCAUUUACCAUGAAAAAGAGUUAAACAUACAUUAAUACAAAUGUAGCAUAUGGUAGAAAUUUUAAAACAACACUAAAGAUUAUAGGCUUCAGUAUACAAAGUAUUUACCAAAAACUCAAUAUUUUUGUAGGGGUUAGCCCAUGAUUUUGAAAGAAUUUCAAAAAAAUAUAUAACAGUGUUGUUUUAAUGCCUAGUUGUAUCAUGCACUAACAUAUGAUGAUGUUCAAAGAGGUUUGGAAUCUUUGUCGUCUCCGUUUAUCAAGAAAAUAAUAACUUUAUAGUGGUUAUUCCAUCGAUUUAGGGAGUAUUAUGAAGUUUUAUUAAAUUAUUUGAUAAAAACAAUUGAAAGAUGCUCAUUUACCAUGAAAAAGAGUUUAGCAUACAUUAAUACAAAUGUAGAAUAUGGUAUAAAUUUUAAAACAACACUAAAGAUUAUAGGCUUCAGUAUAUAAAGUAUUUACCAACAACUCAAUAUUUUUGUAGGGGUUAGCCCAUAGAUUUUGAGAAAAUUUCAAAAAAUAUGACAAUAUUGUUUUAAUGCCUAGUUGCAUCCUGCACAAACAUAUGAUGAUGUUCAAAGAGGUUUGGAGCAUUUAUGCUCUCUGUUUAUCAAGAAAAUAAUAAUUUUAUAGUAGUUAUUCCAUCUAUUUAGGAGGUAUUAUGAAGUUUUACUAAAUUAAAACCAUUGAACGAUGUUCAUUUACCAUGAAAAAGAGAUUAGCAUACAUUAAUACAAAUGUAGAAUAUGGUAAAAAUUUUAAAACAACACUAAAGAUUAUAGGCUUCAGUAUAUAAAGUAUUUACCAAAAACUCAAAAUUUUUGUAAGGGGGGUUAGCCCAUAGAUUUUGAGAAAAUUUCAAAAAAUAUGACAAUAUUGUUUUAAUUCCUAGUUGCAUCCUGCACUAACAUAUGAAGAUGUUGAAAGAGGUUUGGAGCCUUUGUCGUCUCCGUUUAUCAAGAAAAGAAUAACUUUAUUGUGGUUAUUCCAUCGAUUUAGGGAGUAUUAUGAAGUUUUAUUUAAUUAUUUGAUAAAAACUAUUGAAAGAUGCUCAUUUACCAUGAAAAAGAGUUUAGCAUACAUUAAUACAAAUGUAGAAUAUGGUUGAAAUUUUAAAACAACACUAAAGAUUAUAGGCUUCAGUAUAUAAAGUAUUUACCAACAACUCAAUAUUUUUGUAGGGGUUAGCCCAUAGAUUUUGAGAAAAUUUCAAAAAAUAUGACAAUAUUGUCUUAAUGCCUAGUUGCAUCCUGCACUAACAUAUGAAGAUGUUGAAAGAGGUUUGGAGCCUUUGUCGUCUCCGUUUAUCAAGAAAAUAAUAAUUUUAUAGUGGUUAUUCCAUCGAUUUAGGGAGUAUUAUGAAGUUUUAUUAAAUUAUUUGAUAAAAACUAUUGAACGUGCUCAUUUUGCAUGAAAAAGAGUUUAGCAUACAUUUAUACAAAUGUAUAAUAUGGUAGAAAUUUUAAAACAACACUAAAGAUUAUAGGCUUCAGUAUAUAAAGUAUUUACCAAAAACUCAAUAUUUUUGUAGGGGUUAGCCCAUAGAUUCUGAGAAAAUUUCAAAAAAUAUAUAACAAUAUUGUUUUAAUGCCUAGUUGCAUCCCGCACUAACAUAUGAUGAUGUUCAAAGAGGUUUGGAAUCUUUGUCGUCUCCGUUUAUCAAAAAAAAUAAUAACUUUAUAGUGGUUAUUCCAUCAAUUUAGAGAGUAUUAUGAAGUUUUACUAAAUUAAUUGAUAAAAACAAUUGAACGAUGCUCAUUUACCAUAAAAAGAGUUUAGCAUACAUUAAUACAAAUGUAGAAUAUGGUAGAAUUUUUAAAACAACACUAAAGAUUUUAGGCUUAACAGUCUCAGAUCUAUCUCUCCAAUCCUAAGCUCUUCUAAUGGUAGCCAAAAUGCUUCUUCUCCAAACUAGGUCUUUUUGCAAGUCUACCUCUAAAAUGAUACAAAACCCUAGUACAUAUAGCCUCACAGACGGCUAAGGGCUUAUGUUGCAAUUAAGAAACUUUAUGGAAAUGAAGUCUUCUAAUUUCGUGAUUAAUCCUCAAGUAAUCCAAUAUUGAUCGAUGACGCUGAACGGCUGUCGAUCAAUUUUAAUUGGCUCCGGGCGAUCGAUAUUGCUCUUCAAGCGUUGAUCGAUUCUCUACGCGUAAAAGUAGUGCCAAAGUGUCCCAAAAGCAUCAUUUCCUUCUAUCAAGUAACUGAACCUGUAAUUGCUUUGAAAAGACUCUAAAACAUGAUAAAUAUAACUUAAAACACUUAUAUACCAUGACUAAAAAUGGGUGAAAUCCAUGGUAUAUCAUUAAUCCACCAAUUUAGGGAGUAUUAUGAAGUUUUACUAAAUUAAUUGACAAACAAUUAAAACGAUAUCCAUGUACCGUGAAAGAGAGUUUGAUAUAUAUUAAUACACCUGUAGACUGUUUAGAAAUUUUAAAACAACACUAAUGAAAAUAGCGAUUUUAUAGUGGUUAUUACAUCAAUUUACGGUGUAUUAUGAAGUGUUACUAAACUAAUUGACAAAAAGUUAAAACGAUGCUCAUGUAAUAUGAAAGAGAGUUUAAUAUACAUUGAUACAAAUGUAGAAUGUGUUUAGAAAUUUUAAAAGAACACUAAAGAUCAUAAGGUUCAUUAUAUACAACAUUUACCGAAAAACUCAAUAUUUUCGUAGGGGUUAACACAUAGAUUUUGAGAAAAAAUUCAAAAUAUAAAAAUAUUGUUUUAAUGUAUAGUUGCUUCAUUCACUCACAUAUGAUGAAGGUCAAAGAAGUUUGAAACAUUUGUUGUCUCUGUUUUUCUAGAGAAUAGCGAUUUUAUAGUAGUUAGUUCACCAAUUUAGGGAGUAUUAUGAAGUUUUACUGUAUUAAUUGACAAAAAGUUAAAACGAUGCCAAUGUACCAUGAAAAAAGUUUAAUAUACAUUAAUACUAAAGAACACAGACUUCAGUAUAUAGAGCAUUUACCGAAAAAUUCAAUAUUUUCGUAGGAGGGGGUUAACACAUAGAUUUUGAGAAAAAUUCAAAAAUUCAAAAAUAUUGUUUUAAUACAUAGUUGCAUCCUUCACUAACAAAUGAUGAAGGUCAAAGAGGUUUGGAAACUUUGUUGUCUCCAUUUCUCCAGAAAAUAGCGAUUUUAUAGUGGUUAGUCCACCAAUUUAGGGAAUAUUAUGAAGUUUUACUAAAUUAAUUGACAAGAAAUUAAAACGAUGCCCAUGUACCAUAAAAAAAGUUUAAUAUACAUUAAUACAAAUAUUGAAUGUGUUUAGAAAUUUUAAAACAACACUAAAGAUCAUAGGCUUCAUUAUAUACAACAUUUACCGAAAAACUCAUUAUUUUCGUAGGGGUUAACACAUAGAUUUUGAAAAGAAUUAAAAAAUAUGAAAAUACUGUUUUAAUGCAUAGUUGCAUCCUUCGCUAACAUAUGAUGAAGUUCAAAGAAGUUUGGAACUUUUUUUGUCACCAUCUCUCUUGAAAAUAGCGAUUUUAUAGUGGUUAAUUCACCAAUUUAGGGAGUAUUAUGAAAUUUUACUAAAUUAAUUAACAAAAAAUUAAAACUAUGCCCAUGUACCAUGAAAGAGAGUUUAAUAUACAUUGAUACAAAUGUAAAAUGUGUUUAGAAAUUUUAAAACAACACUAAAUAUCAUAGGCUUCAGUAUAUAAAACAUUUACCGAAAAAUUCAAUAUUUUCGUAAGGGUUAACAUAUAUAUUUUGAGAAAAAUUCAAAAAUAUGAAAAUAUUAUUUAAUGCGUAUUUGCAUCCUUCACUAACAUAUGAUGAAGGUCAAAGAGGUUUGGAACUUUUGUUGUCUUCGUUUCUCGAGAAAAUAACGAUUUUAUAAUGGUGUUAGUUCACCAAUUUAAGGAGUAUCAUGAAGUUUUACUAAAUUAAUUGACAAAAAAUUAAAACGAUGUCCAUGUACCUUGAAAGAGAAUUUAAUAUACAUUAAUACAAAUAUAGAAUGUGUUUAAAAAUAUUAAAACAACACUGAAGAUCAUAGGCUUCAGUAUAUAGAAUAUUUACUAGAAAGCUCAAUAUUUUCGUUGGGGUUAACACAUAGAUUUUGAGAAAAAUUCAAACCCUGGAAUGAGGACGCUGGACCAUCCCAUCGAGUGACCGAUCCCAAGAACAUCCUCGUACGGUCUGAACAUAACCUUCUCCACCUGGUAGCCUUUCACCAUCGAGUGGCUCAUGUAUCUACUAUAGCCACCACCACCACCACUCGAGUCUCCCAAAACUUGAACAAACGAACCAGUCCCGGCCGCUAGCAACCCUUUCUGGCUGAAACUCAGCGUCUUGGCGUGGAAACCGUGGAUGGUCUGAACCUCCUCGAACUUGCGGAGGUCCCAGAUCUUGACUUUGCGCUCUUUACCAGACGUAGCCAUGAGAUGGCCGUUCGGAUGAAAGGCAACAGCAGAGACCGGUCCAGGGUGGCACUGCAUUUGGACCAGAGGUGCUUGGCUGGUGGGUUUCCACAUCGUGACGGUUCCACCGGAAUGUCCCAAGGCGACUACACCGUUGUAGGGAUUCACUUCCAUUACGUCUGUUCUGCCUUUGCCUGUUCUGAUGCUAGCCACCAUGUCGCCGUAGGUAACGUCUUGGUAGUGUAGCUGACCGAUUUUGUUUAUUGAUGCGAGGAGGAAAUGGUUCUUUAGGAACCGGAGUCUGGCUACUGGACCACGCUCCUGAAGUUAGGCAAGAACAGGUGUAAGUUUCAUUAUUUGAUCCAUAUAGUUGUAUAUCAACAAAAAAAAGACAGUAAGCCUCACCUUCAGACAAUGGAGCUCAGUUCCAUCUCUCGCGUAAAUAUAAGAAUACCUGUAAAAGAAAGUUGAGGAGUUAAAGUAUAAGUCCAAGCACCCUCCAAGACAGAAGGAGGCAAAGCAUACAUAAGGUGAUGUUUUAACUACAUACUUCUUCUGAGCAGCUGCAAAGAACUGGUCAUUGUGCAGGAAUGCAACAUCACGUACUGUUUCUCUUACCUGCAGAUAACAUCAACUUCUGUCAAGAACCAAAUCAAAAAAAAAUACAUACAAAAAGCCUUGAAUAAAAUAUGAAAUAACAAACUCACAUGUAUCUCUUUGAUCAAGUUCAUAUUCAUCAUGUCUACAAGAGCAAGGUGGCCUUUGCGACCACCAGCUAGCAUAUGCCGACCACUUGCAGUAAAAUCAAGUUUGUAAGGUCCAAAAUCUACACAUUUGUUCAGAAACACACAUAACAAAGAGAGUAUUUGUCACACAGAUUAACCAAACUACAAAUUAUAUAUGCAUAACAUGUGAUAGAAGAAGCUAUAGACCAUUUACCUGGGAGCACUAUGUCAUAUUGGUUUUUUGAGCUUAAUAAAUCUACUUCUUUGGCAAUAUCCGUCUGCUUGAUCCUCCAAGUCUUCUCUAAACCCUCAGUCUCCAAGUACCCUGCCGAAGCCGGCAAGAGCCACUACAUAAAUAAACACAAACCAGAUAACAAGACAGUAAUUAAUAUUCCAAAACCAAGAACAGAGGAAUCAAAGUGACUCAAGGAGUAAAACUUACCUUCUCAAUUUUAGCAGCAGCUUUUGCAGAUUUGCCAUACAGCUUCUCUCGUGAAGCAAGCUGAGUCUUUAGUUUCUUAUCUUUCAAUGACUGCAAGAACAUGAAGAAACAAACACUCAACUUCUGCAUUCUCCAAAACCAAAAGCAACAAUCAUUAAAACUCUUGUGUGUUAUAUAUACCUCUAAGUUAGCACCUUCUCCUCUAAGAUACUUCUUUUCUUUAGCCUCCAACUCAACAUCGAUCUCCUGCAAACAAAUUUAAAGCAAAGGUUUUAACUUUAUCGAAACCCACAAACAAUAAAGUGUUUUGAGACUCUAAAGGUAGUAGUUACCUGCUCAUCAGGAGGCAGGACCUUCUCCAUGAGAUUGUUAUCCUCUAAAGCAACCUCCAUCUUGAUACUUGCAAGUACGUCUUAUAACCUAAACCUAAAUUAGAUUGUUAUUCAUUCCAAUUGAAUCCUGAAUCAGCUACGAGCUAGGAAGAUUGAGACAAACGUAAGAAAAGAUUGAAACUUUAAAUUAGAUUCACCUGAGAUUAGAGAAGGCGGCGAGGAAGCAGAAGAACACGCGACGGUGAAGCUUUGAGUUUUAAAGGAGACGGCGUGAAUUAGGGUUUAGCAGCAAAUUGUGUUAAUGGGCGAGAGAGACACUGAGAGCUCCGACAACGAUCCUCUUGCUGAUUAGGUUUGAGGGUUUUGUAAUUUUUUAAGGGUUUUAAAAAACAAAAUAAAAGAGGAAAUCUUUUGAGUGGGCCUCGAUAACUCGCAAUUGGGCCUGGUCUGAAGGAAGCCUAUUGUAUACAAAACAACUUUCAUAUUUGAAAAUUAUAUUUUGUAUAUAAAUAUUAGUGUAUGGAAACCAAAAAAAUAUUAUUUUUAUAUUUUUGUAUAGCAUAGCUUUAAUGUUUUGACCCAUUUCUUGAAAGUGAUCCCGUAACGGACCAUCCUGUUCUUGGAGUUGUAGGACAUAUAUUGUUUGUUAUUAUUUUUAAUAUAUUUUGUUAACUAGCGGCUAGCGCAAAAAACAUUGGAUUCCAAUUCUGUGCUUUUCAGGAUUAGUUUUGAUUUUAAUAAUUUGAUUACACUGAGAACAUCUCCAGGUUUUUGAAGAUUCAUCUUGUUAUUUAUAUUUUGAUCUUUAUAAUUAAUUACACAUCACAUUCAUGAUUCUUAAGUAUUUUUCAUUUAUUGUUUAAUCUUUUUAAAAAGAUUAUAUCAUAAAUAUUUCAAAUUUAUUUUUAUAAAAUUCAAAUUUUACACAUAAAUUAAAUGAGAAUUUUAAAAUAAGAUUUAUAAUCUUUUAAAACUAAAAUUAGACAACAAGAAUAUUACAAAAGAUUCUUAAUAAAAAGAUUUAUAAUCUUAUAAAACUAGAAUUAGACAACAAAAAUAUUACAAAAGAAACUUAAUAAAAAAAUACAUGAAGAUAUAAUUAUUACAUAAAAUUAAAUUCUACAACAACACUAAUAGUCUAGUAAAUUUAGUUUGGAACCUUUAAAAUAUUGUCCAAACAAAUUUUGUGUAACCGAAGAUGGAGCAUAACGAAAGUAAUUUUAACCAUUCUCAAUCAUGGCCUUUGCGGACCAGAUCCAUAUAAUAUACAAAAAGAAACUCCAAAUAUUUGAUAUCUUAAUAUUGUAUUUUGCUUGUAUUUUAAUAUUUAAUUAUGUAUUCCUUUGCGAACCGGAUCCAUAUAAUAUACAAAAAGAAACUCCAAAUAUUUGAUAUCUUAAUAUUGUAUUUUGCUUGUAUUGUAAUAUUUAAUUAUGUAUUUCUUAUAAUUUUAUAUAUAGUGUAAGAUUUUAUUAAUUAAUUUUAUUGUAAUAUUUUUAUAUAUGUGCUAGUUAUUUACAAAAGUUUUAUGGAUUUAUAUUAAUUAUGACAAACAUAAAAAUCAUAGUGUAAAUUACAAAUAAUUUUAAAGUUAAAUUUGAAGUUUUAUUUUUGAGAAAAACACUUUAAAACUUCAAAUAUAGAGUUUGCAAGAGAGUCUUUUUGAGAUGCUCUUAUAUAGUAUUAUCAAUAUUUUCAUAAAUAUAAUGAAUUUACAUCCAAUUAUAAUCGUUUCCUAAUUUUCCUCAAAAUCUAACAGAAUUGUAAGAAGUUUCUACGAAUAGAUUAAGAAAGUAACAAAUCUGAUGUUGAUAAUAAUAAAUAAAUCUGUGACCCGCAUGUUGCUAGUUAGGAGUUAGGACUUGGCUCGUCUAGCAAUGAUAUAACAUGUAACAACUAGUAUCAUAAUACAUUAACGUACUUCGAUAACUUUCCUUGGUUAAUUAAUAGAGUUGAUAUACAUGUCAUUUUUAAGUUGUGUGAUCGAUGCAAUCAUACAUCCGUUCAUCUCUAUGAUAGGGAGACAAUUGAAUAUGUUCCCUAAACAUCCAAGGGAGAGCCACCUCCCUAUCUUUACUUUUGGUGUCAUUUGCUAUAGUUUUUGGAAUUUUAUGAUAUUUGUAUAUUUGCUAUUGUGAAAUAGCUAAGUAUAUUAGUAUAAUAAUAAAUAACAAAAAGAAUACAGGAAUAAUUCAUGAUUUGGAGGCCAUGCACGUUACGUUUUACUUGCUUUCUUUGUCUACAUUGUACACUACAACACAUAAAAUGCUAAAACGGUGGUAAAUGCUAGUCAUUUAUCUUUUUCAAAAAAAAACGCUAGUCAUUUAUAUUAUUUCUAUUCAUAUCAAUACGUAAAUGCAAGUAAUACCAUAAAAUACCACUCAGAUAUAUAUAUACCUAAUAUAUGCAAUAUAUCGAGCUUUACAAUAUAGUUUUUUUUUAACUUUCGCUUUACAAUAUAUAGUUUGUAGAUAAGUUAGAUUUGGUCAGCGUGUAAAUUAGCUCUAUACAUUAUCAGAUACACAUGCAUCACAAUAUGCAUGUGGAAUCACUUAUAUUCGGAUAUACUGACUAAAUUUAGUAACAUAAAUUUUGAGAGUUGCCCAAAAAGAAAGUAACAUAAUUUCGAGAAAAUAUUCAUACAAUAUGGUCCUAAAC